CUCUUCAUGAUGACUUGUUGUUGUUGCUGCAGCUGCUGGUGUUCUUGUUAUUGUUGUUGUUGUUGUUAUUAUUAUUGUUAUUGGGGUCGCGGGGUUGGAGGUGGGUGGAGUCUGAAUGUCUCCCCGCCCCUUCCUGAAAGCCGAAACUUAGAAAACUUCGCUUUGCUGGGUUGACUAAGCCUUCAUUCUUGGUUCUGGUUAUAUAUAUCUAUAUAUAUAUAGAUAUAGAUAUAGAUAUAUAGAAACAGCUUGUAUUUGGGGGACAAAAAGGACAAAACAAACAGCAAUGAAACCAAAUGAGGCGUUAAGUUUACAGUAGUAGUUGCAUGGCAUGGUAAUUUGGAAGGCUCUGCUUUUCCGCAAGCAAUCAUUUUUCCAUGUCUUUUCUUUUUUAUACUUGGUGAAAUGGUUGAGAACAAACUGAUUGAAGCUUUUGGUUGUCUCUUGCGAUGUCAUCAACCACAAUGCUGCCACAUUACUGCUAUAUUAAUGAGACAUCACCAUUCACUUAACCAAAUUGGCCUGUGAGACUUGAUUGCAACAAUCAAGAAAGUAUGAGCUAGAAAUUGCGGCUAUUAUUGUUUGGGGACCAAAGUGUCACCUGCCUCAUAGUUUGAGGACCAAAAGUGUAAUUUAGCUUUAUUUUAUCUAUCAACCCUUGGAACAGGCAUUAAUUUUCCUAUCUCAGCACUCUGUUGGAAGGUCUGCUGUUUUGCAGGCAACCUUGUUCUGUCAUUUGUGAUGCCUCUUGAUGUGAACGAAUGGCAGGUCGGAGCCUCUCUGUCCUUCUACUUUCUUUUCACUGUUGAUAUUUCUCAUGCUGACCGUCCAUAUGUCCUCAAUCCUCUUGCUGACUGUAUGCUUCAACCGGAAGGCCCUUACUGUUUCAUGCAAUAUUAAGGAAGUGUUUUUCCUUCGUUGUACUUGUCAAAGGAGGCUGUGAUGAUUGCCACUUGGGAAUGCACCUCAACUUCUUUAAUCCUUGCUUUGGAUUCUCGGCGGAGUGCAGAAGCUGACCAAAAUACUAGGUAUAAGAGAGUCAACUCAAACCUGAGACCUUGGUUGGGUUUUGACAGUUCGGGUGGGAUUUGAAUCUUUUUUUUUUUUUUAAUUUUAUAUUUUAGUCCUUUUACACCCCUUGAGAGGCCUUUACGUGGUUCAUUUGUGGGAUAGACGGCAUCUCAGUGGAUGGCUUUUGGCUGACAUGAUCACCUGGUGUAGGCUAUAAUUUUUCCUUUCUCAGCAGCUCAUAUAACCAACAUUAAGUACCUGUAGCAGGACUUAAAUUGGAAGGUCUACUGUCUUGGAUGCAACAUUUUGCUGUCGUGUCUUUAAGGUGCAGAAGAUUGCAAGAUCCCUUGCGAGAUGAUUAAGUGGCAAAUCUGAGCCUCCAUUUUCUUCUCCUACUUUCUUUUUAGCUAUUAGGAUUCGGUGGUACAUUAUUUAUUUUUCCCAUUUUUUCUUUUCCUCCUCUGGCCUUCUUACUGCAUGUAGAACCUAGGUGGGUUGUUUUCACAUAUUCCUUAUCUACUUCCUGAAAUGUGACACUCUACUUCAUGCUGGUUGAUGCUAAAUCAUUUAUCCUGUAUGUCUUCAGAUUUAGGCAACUUGUUAGUCUUUUAGAUUUUGAAAAGAACUAAAAACAGAUAAAGAUACGGAUGUUUGGCAUGUAUAUCUGUAUAUUUGUAUGCUGAUUCAAAUGUGGGUAUCCAACAUACUUGUAUAUCUACUUUUCCAUUUCUCUUCUUGAUGCCUUGUUGUUGUUGCUGCUGCUGCUGUUGUUAUUCUUGUUAUUAUUAUUACUGUUGUUAUUGUUAUUGUGGUCGCAAUGGUGGUGGUAGAGGUGGGUGGAGUAUCGCCUCUCCGUGUCACGCCCCGAAACCGCUAUCAAUUUGGUCCGGCUCGGGCGCGUCGAACAGACGCCGAACGGACAGAACCUCCCCUCCAUUCUAGGCUCAACAACAAGAUCAUGUACGUUUUUGUCGCCCAGGAUGACAUACAACAUACAUGAACAGUACGAAGCACCGCAAGUGCUACACAAUUAAGAGCAAGACACAAGUAAUAAAAUGAGUGGUAUAAAGAGAGUAACAUCUAGCUAUUACAUCCACAAGGCAUUCAACAUUUAGAUCCUUGAUUAUAUUUACGUCUCCAAAAUGAAUAUUCAUGAUAAUCUCCAAAAUACCCUAGCAAUCUCCCAAAAUACAUCAUAUGUCACGGGGUGCACGAGGGUACACUAAUGCAAGUGGAAGCUGCUAACUAUACCUAGGGCGCGAUGCUCUUACCACGAUCCUCUGCCGGUGCUCUCUCGCUAGGCCCUGCAACAAAGUGGGGUGAGAACUAUAUAAAUAUAGUUCCCAGUGGGUUCGGCCGCCGACUCCGCCGAUCUUCCCACUAGGUCUAAGCAGGCAUAAGCAGAUAGAUAUCUGUAACUGUAAUUGAUGCAUAUAGAAGGAAUUGCAAGAUUCUACUAUGCCUGGAGAACAAGAGUAAAUCACAUAGCCAUGUAAUCUCUAACAUGCUAUAAUAACUCUAUCAAGUAUACAUGCAAUUCUACUAUGCCCAGCAUGCUCAACAUACUCAAUAUGCUUACUAUGCUCAAUAUGCAUAAUUCUCUUGAGUUCAUCACCCAAUCAUCUGGCUAGCCCAAAGGCGCGCCCUCGACUCACAACUCAAAUCCGUCUAUGAAGGGGGACUCGAACCACUCGAGGGAUUGUCUGCGGGACCCCACAUAGGCUAUCCCUUGGGACCCCACAUAGGCUAUCUCAAUCGUUUCACGUGCCAAGACUCCGAAACUCGCACUACUUGUGCGGAGCGACCGCCACAAGCGCUGAACAGACUGUGUGAGUAUAAUCAAAUUCGUUUCCAACGAAGGUACCCGGUCACUACGACCUACAUGCACAAGUGUUCUUUUAACACUACGUUCUAAUGCCACUCGUCAAGUUGUUUACUUGGUAUACAUAUGACACUCGUCAAGUAUGUACUUGGUUCACAUGUCACUUGCCAUAAUGCAAUUGUCCCGACUAUACUAGUCAUAUAUCCGCUAUGCAAGAUCAAGUUAUUGUCUAACUUAUCUCUAUAGGGUUCUAUGUCACAAACUCAUUCUCAUGCACCCUAAGUUCACAUGCCAAGCCUACUAUGUCGCAAUACAAGGGAGCAUGCAAGAAUAGUAAAAGUAACAUCUAAAUACCCUAACAUGCAUGAUACUAUAUAUGUAGUAUGUUCAACAUAGAAAUACUUAGACAUAGGGAGAAGCCCAGUUGCUUCGGGAUGACACCCCCCACCUCUUGGUGAUGUCCUGAAGUUACGAUUCCGUUUCCAAGAUUUUUGGAAGCUUUCGCCGCAAGUUGCGGCAAUCUGUACCCUAACGGCUUCGUUCUUUAAUAUCUUCGCGUACGCUCGUCGUAUCGCCGAACCGAUUUCGCCAACGCGUCAGAAAAUCUAGCAAUUAGGUUUAUACAUGAUCAAUUUAGAUCAAAACCUCACAUAUCGAAAAAUUCUAUUUUUGAGCCCUAACAUGCAAUUACCCCCAAAUAAUCCAAAUUAAAUGGAGCAACAUGCUAAGAAUGCUCAUUAGAGGCUACUAGAAUACUUAAAGUUAAGGAUUAAGCCAAAUCCCAAAAGUUUACCAAAAUGUGAACGCCGAGACGGAAGCACGCCGCUCCAACGGGCGCACGAAAGCUCGAUCCGUCGCUCCCGACGCGUUCGCAAGCUCGUUCUCCGCCAACGCCGCGAAUUUGGGCGAAAGAUCUAGAGAGAUGAGAGAGUUAUUUAGAGAGAGAAAGUGAGGAUUUCUCUCACUACCACCAUGAACAUGUGCUUGUGGGGGUGGUGCUUGGCUGUGAAGAAGAAGCCAAGUCACUAGAAGCUUCUACUUAUAUAGUCAACACCCCAAUAUAGUCAACACCCCAAUAGUAGCAUACACUAUUCACUUCAGGCAGUUCGAAAUCUGAUAUCUUUCGCCGGAGCCCUCUGAAUAUCCGUUUGAGCUCAAAUUUGACAGUCAUGUUCGGAUUUGCUUAACUUAACGAAAGAAAUUUUAAUCUUUCAGUUUCGACCUCGUUUGGUCACCGAAAGCCGUACCGAACUGUAAUCUUUAUCAGAUCACUAUCGGAUUUUAUUUUUCACCUUCCGGAUGUCAGAAUGAUAUGAAACUUUAAAUCUAGCCUCAUAAAAAUAAUUUUGGCUUAUCCUCCAGUUUUCAGAAUUUUCUGACACUGCAUUUUCUGCUAAUUUAUCUGCCCCGUUUCACACAGAAAAUUCUAAAUCUUCUGUUUUCGCUCUGAUUUCAACACGGGUCAUUCCAGACUUAUAUUUUAUGUCUAUAAGUCCAAUAAAAUAGUAUCUCACACUAUUUUUAUUUAUAUUUAUUUUUAUAUUAAAAUUUCAGCAUAUUACAUCCCACCGUAACUUCAUAAUUUAAGAAGUUCGGUACCUUACAAUCCGCCCCUUCCUGAUGGGGGAAACCCACAAAAAUUUGCUUUUCGGGUUGACCAAGCCUUCAUUCUUGGUUCUGGUUCUAUAUAUAUAUAUAUAUACAUACAAACUGUUUGUAUAUAGAGGAAAAAAGAAAAAGAAAAAAGCAACAAAACCAAAUGAAGCCUUAUUAAGGUUUCAGUGGUAGGUGCAUGGCAUGGCAAUUUUGGAAGGCUCCGCUUUUCUGCGAGCAACCAGUUGUCCAUGUGUUGCCUUGCUUAGAUUUGCCGAAAUGGCUGAGAACAAACAAAUUGAAGCUUUCGAUGGGUCUCUUGGUUGUCAUCAACCACAAUACUGCUGCAUUACUGCUACUUUAGUGAGACCACCAUUUACUCAACAAAAUUGGCCUAUGAGACGAUUGCUACAAUCAAGAAAUUUUCGAGCCAGAAACUGCAAGUAUUAUAGUUUUGAGGACCAAAGUGUCAUCUGGAUCAUAGUUUGAGCACCAAAGUGCAAUUUAACCUUAUUUUAUCAAACGAACCAAGGAACAGGCAAUAAUUGUCCAUCUCACCUGCCUGUGGCAGUACUCAAUUGGAACUCAAUUGGAAGGUCUGUUGUUUUGCAGGCAACCUUGUUCCAUCAUUUAUCUUAAAGGUGCAUAAGAAUACACGAUGCCUCUUGAUAUGAUUGAAUGACAGGUCAGAGCCAACUUCUUUCAUACUCUCUUUUGUUAUACUUGUCAAAGGAGGCCGUGAUGAUUGCCACUGGGGAAUGCACCUCAGCUUCUUUAGUCCUUGCUUUUGAUUUUUCGUUGGAGUGCAGAAGCUGACCAAAAUACUAGGUAUAAGAGAGUCAACUCAAACCUGAGACCUUGGUUGGGUUUUGACAGUUCAGGUGGGAUUUGAAUCUGGUUUUUUUUGGUUAUUUUGGUUCUUUUACACCCCUUGAGACGCCUUUGCAUGGUUCAUUUGUUGGAUAGACAGCAUCUCAGUGGAUGGCUUUUGGCUGACAUGAUCACCUGGUGCAGGCUAUAAUUUUUCCUUUCUCAGCAGCUCAUAUGUGACCAACAUUAGGUACCUGUAGCAGGACUUAAAUUGGAAGGUCCACUGUCUUGGAUGCAACCUUUUGCUGUCGUGUCUUUAAGGUGCAGAAAAUUACAAGAUCCCUUGCGAGAUGAUUAAGCGGCAUAUCUGAGCCUCCGUUUUCUUCUCCUACUUUCUUUUUAGCUAUUAGGAUUUGGUGCUACAUUCUUUAUUUUUCCUUUUUUUUCUUUUCCUCCUCUGACCUUCUUACUGCAUGUAGAACCUAGGUGGGUUGUUUUCAAAUAUUCCUUAUCUACUUCCUGAAACAUGACACCAUACUUCAUGCUGGUUGAUGCUAAAUCAUUUAUCCUGUAUGUCUUCAGAUUUGAGGCAACGUGUUAGUCUUUCAGAUUUUGAAAAGAACUAAAAACGGAAUAAAGAUUCGGAUGUUUGGCAUAUAUAUCUGUAUACUUGUAUGCUGAUUCAAAUGUGGGUAUCCAACAUACAUGUGUAUCUACUUUUCCAUCUCUCUUCUUGAUGCCUUGUUGUUGAUGCUGCUGCUGCUGUUGUUAUUAUUAUUAUUAUUUUUGUUAUUAUUAUGGUCGCAGUGGUGGUGGUGGAGGUGGGUGGAGUCUAUCGUCUCUCCACCCCUUCCUAGGGAACCCACGAAACUUUUCUUUUCGGGGUUGACCAAGCCUUCAUUCUUGGUUCUGGUUAUAUACAUACAUACAAACAUUUUGUAUAUAGAGGAAAAAAGAAAAAGAAAGGAAAAAAAAAGCAACAAUAACAACGAUACCAAAUGAAGCCUUAAGGUUUCAGUAGUAGGUGCAUGGCAUGGUUAUUUUGGAAGGUUCUGCUUUUCUGAGAGCAACCAAUUUUCCAUGUGUUGUCUUGCUUAGACUUGCCGAAAUGGCUGAGAACAAACAAAUUGAAGCUUUCGCUGGGUAUCUUGGGAUGUCAUCAACCAUAAUACUGCUAUGGUAGUGAGACAUCACCAUUUACUCGACCAAAUUGGCCUGCGAGACGAUUGCAACAAUCAAGAAAGUUCAAGCCAGAAAUUGCCAGUAUUAUAUUUUUGAGGACCAAAUUGUCAUCUGCCUCAUAGUUUGAGCACCAAAAGUGUAAUUUAGCCUUAUUUUGUCUAACAAACCACAGACACAAAACAGGCAAUAAUUUUCCUAUUUCACCUAUGUAAUACACUGGAUCUUAGCAAAUUGCAAGAUUCGAGUGUUUGAUCUGUGUGUGGAGCCUUUCCACAGUUUUUGGAGGGUCGUUGAUAGUGUUCCGACCCCUGGCACGCACCCCGAGGAUGUUGGUUUGAGACUUGGCACCAAAAUUUCAAAAUUGAAAUUUUUAGUCAGCUCUCGGAUAGCCUGCAGCAGAGCUUGUACCGGAACAAGAUUGGUCUUGUACCGGUACAAGGUUGAUGGUUGUACCGGUACAGCCAUCGGGCUUGUACCGGUACAGAGCCGCAGACUCCGCAACCCGAGCCUCGGGUUUGCAUUUUCGCAGGGCUUGUACCGGUACAAGGGCCCGUGUACCGGUACAAGGUGGCUGAUUGUGUGCAGUUUGAUACUGCAGGGGGUUUUUCGCGAUUGUAGCCUAUCUAUAUCAGCCCCCACGCCUUUAGGGACUCUCCCUGAGCUGAGACCAGCAGGAGUUGAGGUAGGAGGAACUCUCUUCUUUCCUUUGCAUUUUUACUCCUUUUGCUUGGUUUUUAUUGGAUUUUCUCUCCUCUAUUUGCAUCUUGGUGGCUUCUCCACCAUUGUUGAUGGCUUAAAGCUUGGAGAGGAGCUAGUGGCCGCGGAGAUCUUCAACGUCACUUGGAUUGGAGCUAAGUUUGGAACUUCUUGAGAGGUCAGAGACUUGAUUUCUCCCUUUGAUCCUUGAUUUGAGGUUUUUGUGAGAUCAAACCCUAGAAAUGAAAAUUUAGGGUUUAUUUGGGCAUUUUCGUUUUAGGGCUUUUGAGGCUCAAUCUCUUGGAUUAGAGCCUUCCUCUAGGGUAGAUUGGAGGGGUUCUAACUCUCAUUUGGAGCUUGAGAGGAGAUCUUUGCAUUUGAGGUGAGUUUUCCUCACCUAUGCUUGCAUAGCUUAUAGAUUGAGCUUAGCAUCAUUCGUUUCAUUUAGGUGACACUUGUUUUCAUACCUCUAGGAUACUAGGAGGUUAGAGGACACCUUCGUCGGAGCAAACGAAGGGCUUCGUUUACCGUUGGUGGUUUUGACUUCAUGAAAACGGGGCGAAAUGGCCCCUAUGCCUCCUAAACUCUUCGUAAAGUAUUUUUAAAUUCAUUUCUAUGCUAAAUAGAAUUUAUAUGAAUUUUUGAGCACUUAAAAUGCAUGCCUUGUGUAUUAUGAAGAAUUUCACUAUAUAGUAGAGCUAUAUGAGUAGAAUGCAUGCAUACGGGAAAAGUGUUUAUUUUGCAAGUGGAAAAUACAUCUCUUAUGAGGAGUAUGACUUGGGACAUGUACUUUGGAACAUAGUUGCCAUGCUUGGACAUAGAGAACAAGAGUGUCAUCAAGGGGCACUUGAAACUAGUAAACUAUUAAAUUGCAAUAUAGAGACAUAUUGAUAGGCCACUACAUAUCUGCUAUAUUCCAUGUUAGAGACAUGAUGACAUAGAGAUAGGCCACUGAGAUACUUGAUAUAUAUUCCAUGUUGNUUUAGCCUUAUUUUGUCUAACAAACCACAGAACAGGCAAUAAUUUUCCUAUUUCACCUACCUGUGGCAGCACUCAAUUGGAACUCAAUUGGAUGGUCUGCUGUUUUGCAGGCAACCUUGUUCCAUCAUUUAUCUUAAAGGUGCAUAAGAAUACAUGAUGCCUGGAUAUGAUCGGAUGGCAGGUCAGAGCCUCUCUUUCCUUGUGCUUUCCUUUCAGCUAUUAAUAUUUCUCAUGCUGACUGUUCAUAUGUCCUCAUUCUGACCGUAUACUUCAAUCAGACCGGCGCUUAAUGUUUCAUUCAAUCUUAAGGAAGUGUUUCUCCUUCAUUUUACUUGUCAAAGGAGGCUGUGAUGAUUGCCAGUUGGGAAUGCACCUCAACUUCUUUUAUCCUCUCUAUUGAUUCUCGGUGGUGUAAAAGCUGAUCGAAAUACGGGAUAUAGGAGGCAAUAUAGUUAGCUCAAUCCUUAGAUCUUGGUUGUGUUUUGAUAAUUCGGGUGGGAUUUGAAUCCAGUUUGUUGGUUAGUUUUGUCAUUUUGCUUCCCUUGAGAGCCUUUCGCUUCGUUAAUUCGUGGGAUAGACAGCAUCUCAGUGGGUGGCUUUUGGCUGACAUGAUUCACCGGGUGCAGGCAAUAAUUAUUCCUUUCUCAGCAGCUCAUCAGGCCAACAGUAGCUCCUGUAGCAGUAGUUAAAUUGGAAGGUCUGCUGUCUUGCAGGCAACCUUAUGCUGUUCAUAUCUUUAAGGUGCAUAAGAUUACGAGAUCCCGAUCCCUCAUGAGGUGAUUGAAUGGCAAAUCCGAGCCUCCAUUUUAUUCUCCUAGUUCCUUCUUAGUUAUUAAGAUUUAGUGGUACAGUAAUUUUUUUGUAGCUAUUAAUAUUUAAUGGUACACAAUUUUUCUGUUUUAUCUUUAAUUUCUCAUCCUCUGGCUUUCUUACUGCAUGUAGAAUCUAGGAUGGGUUGUUUCAAACAUUCAUUAUCAAUCCCCUGAAACCCUACUUCGUGCUGGUAGAUGAUGACUAGAUAGAAGUUUGGGGGGUCUAUUUCAAAAUGGUCUAUAGUUGAGGGGAUCUUUAUCCUAUUUAUCCUCUCAAUAUAUCUGAUGGUGAAAAGGUGUUGAUAGUCCCUGUCGUGUCCCAAUACUGUCCCAAUAUUGUGACUUAGUCCUUGAACCUUUUCAAUAACACUCCUCUCUUUCAUCUUUCUUAUAUUCUUGGAAUUUCAUCUCUCCCAUCUCUUUGGUUCAUAUGUUGCAGGCAAAAUCUCUCAUUAGAACUCUGCAUUGUAAUUUAAUUACUAGAGAGGAUUGGCAGGCGCGUGAUCAGUAAUUAGAGGCAGCUCUGGAUGGUCUGCUGUUCUGCAGGCAACCUAGCUUGUACCCAUUUAUCCGGUCAUGGCUGGGGUGGAGGAGGUGGUGGUAGUGAUAAGGAUUGGAUGUAUGUGGGUUCAUAUGAUCCUCUUCUCUGAUUAGGGUAUCACCAUUGCUAUCUUCGCGGCACUCACUUAUUCUCUUGAUCAAAGUUCCUGUAAAGGAUAUCCUUCGUCAUUUACUUCUAUUUCGCAAUUCCUGUUCCUUGAUGUGUUUCGGUAUUUGUGGAAGUUUCUGUUGAUCAUCUUCAAGAGAUGCAGAAUAACCACUUUUGUGGAGUAAAGCUUCUCUCCGCGGUCUUCUGAGAUGUAUACCCAUGAAAUUUUGUGCCUCAGGGUUGAUGAAUGGCUAAAAAUCAAGCUUUUUGAUUUUGAUUGUGCAUUCUUCAUAUGGGUUUAAUUGGUCAGUUAGCUUGGUCCAUUGACACCUCUAAUCUGAGCCAUGCUUCAUUAAUUCAUGGGAUGGAUGACAUUGCCGUUGGUGGUGCAUGUCUGAUCUUGUGCACCGGGUACAGGCCAUAAUUUCUCCUAUCUCUGCAGUCCAUAAGGUCGGCGUUUUGGGGUUCACAUAGCAAUGCUCAAUUGAAAGGUCUGCAUUCUUGCAGGCAACCUUACAAAGUCAUUUGUCUUUAAGGUGCGUAAGACUACAUGAUGCCUCAUGAUAUGAUUGAAUGGCAGAUCUGAGCCUCCCUUUUCUUCUUGUUUCUUUUCAGCUAUUAGGAUUUAUUGUUGUCAUUUUCUUCUUCUCUGUGUUUGUUUCUGCAUGGAGAAGCUAGAUCAUCAAUUCCUAUUCCCUGUACUUUUCAGUGGUUGAUGAUCAGAUUUGAGUUGGUGACUUGGUCGGCUUAUUUCAAGAUGGCCUGUAGUUGAGGGGUCUUCAUACAUUUUACCUUUUUAAUAUGGGUUGGAAUAAGAAUCAGAUAUUAUUUUUCAUCCGAGGCUGGUGAUAUCGGUGACUUUAUCUGAGGAAUAAGAGCUAUUUAUAGUCCCUGUACUAUUCCGAUAUUGUAAUUUGGUCCAAACUACAUCUCCACAACCUUCACUUCGGCACAGGUGUAGUUUCCUAUUAGACCUCUGCAGUGUAAUUCAACCACUACAGAGGUUCCAAGUGUGAUCUAGCAAUGGUGAGGCAGCUAUGGAUGGUCUGCCUUUCCGCAGGCAACCUAGCUGGACCCCUUAAAUCUAAUCAUGAUCUGCCAUGAAGAUAGCAUGCCAGUGUAGCUUCAUCUUUAAGACUCUUCCUCUGUUGAAAGUUUGGAGUGCCAUCUUCGUGGUACAUUUGUUCUCUUGAUCCUGUUAAGAAUACUAGUCCCAUAUUCGAUACUUAAGCUUUUUGGAUUGGUCCGAGACUUUUGGCAUAUCCAACUUCUAGCGAGGGAUAUUUUUAUCUUUUUUUUUUUUUUCAAUUAUUCCAUCUGUCCUUCCUGAUGCCUUUGAUUAUUUGGAGAAGGCGGUAAUGAUUUCUAGCAUGUUGCACAUGAGCUUUCUUCCAAAAUGUUAUGAUUAUUCUAUCCCAGGCUGUAGAAUAUUGAUUUUGCCAAUUGGACGUAGUGGAGGAUGCCGGUCAGCGCGUGUGCGGAGCCUAAAUGAGGUGAAAACGUUUUGGCGCGAAAUGGACGCAAAAACGAAUGAAUAGGGUCAAUCUCUUAUUAUGGAGGACCAAAUCGCAAAUAGACAAAGUUUCGGGCUAAGUUGCAAAAAGGGCAACUUAGUGGAAUUCCACUAAGAGCUCUUAACCUUAUUUUACUGUUCUUUCACUAUUCUGGCCUCCAGUAGACCUAAUGGGAAGAUCGUGGUUAUCGUCGACCGUAUCCACUGGGAACUACUGUUUAGUAGUUCUCACAUCCUUUUGUGGUUUACUUUUGAGGGGUAGGUAUACUGACGGCUGAUCGAGGUGAGGGGGAUCGCGCAGUAGAUACCAUCUCCUACCAGCAUGCCUAGACAUGAGUGGACUACUAGAUAGAGUGCUACUCUGUACUACAUGCAUGUACUGGUGAGGGCCAGGGCUUUUUUUCUUGUACUUUUCUUUUGGGGUUGAGUUUUAUUUGAUAUAGUACAUGAUGUACAGUAGUUUAGUUUGUAGAUAGCGCUCUGAUACUUGUCGUUUGCUUAUUCUGUACUUCAUGUUGAUUCCUGUGUUGUGGAAACUUCUCUAGUGUGACCUCUUGGAAUCCUUUGUCCUGUUCAGUUAUGUUGACGUUUCGUUCAGGCAGGAAAAAACUCUGUUCGUUCGGCGAGUCUGUUGACGUCCCCAUAGGCUUCCGCUGUGGACUUGGGGCGUGACACAGGCUUCCUGAGAUUCAAAGUUUGAAACCCUUGAAAUACUGCUUUAGGUUUCAAAUCUUGGAAGGCUCUGCUUUUCCAGCAGGCAACCAGUUUUGCAUUCAGGGUUCAACCCGUUUUUUCGAAAUUUUUUUUUUUUUUCCCAUAUUAUAUCAUUUCUGACAAAAAGGUUGUAUCCAGUAUUUGAUUUGUGUCCCCAGCUAAGCACUCAUGGUUUCCAACACUGCUCUCCGUUGAAUGUUUGUAUUUGAAUUUGUACUUGGAGAAGUAUGGAAAUAGUCAGUUGCUAUCUGAACAAUAUCCGACCCAUUUUCAUCCCUAGUUAUGUGACAGGUAGUGAUCCUAGUAGAGUCUAGAGACACUGAAGAAGAGAUAUAGUCGUUUCUCACCCUCUAUCAGCGUCUAGAGAGUCUAGAGAGUAAGAGGGAAUCGUUAUCCUGAAAUUUCUUUCCUAAUGUCCAUAUCAGUGUCUCUUUACGUUUUAAUCUUUCUGCUGUGGAAAUCUUAUUUUAGAUUGCUUUACUUCGCUUUCUCGUAUGUCCUGCAUCUAGGUAAUCUUCUUAAUCUAUGUUGUUAGAGCCUUCUUGACUGUCUCUUCUCUCUCUACUUGGGUUCAUCCAUUAACCAGAUAGAAUUGUCCUCUUCUUUUUCUGCAGAAUGUGUUUACCUAAACUAUGAACAAAUGAUAUACAUUUUUUUGUUUUUUCAAUUGACCUCUGAAUAUUGACUUGGUUUCUUUGAUUAAUUAGUUAGUUCACUGCAGUCGGCUUUUUUUUUUUUUUUUUUUUUUUUUUUUUUUUUUUUGGUUUUUGGUUUAUACAUUCUGUUUCCAGCAUAUUUUUUAUAUUAAUGGCUUUACUGUUUACUGUUUUCUGAAUUAGUAUUUUGCAGUUGACAUUUCUCUCGUAUUCCCGUUUCUUUUUAUUAUUUUUGUUAUUAUUGUACCGUUUUGUGUUCUUUCAACAUGCUUGUACAUCUUUCUUCUCUUAUUCUUCUAAUCCCUAGCUACCAUUUUACCAUUGAACCCUGAAUUCUAAACCCUUGGGACAUUGUUUGGUUCAUAAGUGGAGUGAGAAUGGAAAAUAGAAUGACAAACCAUCAACGAAUGUUUGAUUCAUUAUUGACCAAAAUAGUUGUAUAAUUAGGAGGUUCACUUAGAGAGCGGGGGUGUACCGAGUUAUUUAAUAAAAUAUAGUAGAGGACCUACUCGGCAAAAAUAAUAGUUUACGCAGUUAUUUGCAAAAUAACUAAAUUUUAAUUUUUAGGAUGUCUCUGAACAUUUUUUUUUCCUUUAUGAUUUUUUUUUUUUGGCAAUGUUAACUCUACAACGCACCCGUUUUAGACUGUAGAUCUUAUAACUAGAUUAUCCAAAAAGAUAAUCAACUUUGUGCCCUUAAAAAAGAGCUAAUUUCCUCUGUAGCUUUAAAAAAUUAAUAAUUUUUCAUUUACCUUUUAUUUCGAAAAUAUACUCCCGAAAAGAAAAAUUUACAUGCUCCUUUAAAUAUUUGAAAGAAGGAUCAGGUAAAUAUGAAAUUAAUUUUGUAUUGAGGCGUAUAUGAGUAGUGAUAUUAAUGAACACUAAUGUGAUAAUUUUUGUUGAAUUAAUGUUAAAAGUUAAUUAAAAUAAAUAUUACAGAAAAGAAGUUUAGGAGAAAAACCAAAAAUAGGAAAUUACUCCAAAAAUCUCAAAGAAGGAAAAGGAAGGUAAGGAUGUUGUUUCAAAAUAGCUAUUAUUGAGGAGUCUCGACGCUUUUUUGUAUUUGAAAUCAAUGAUUUAAGUGUCUUGGCACGGGAUCGUGCGGAAAUUUGCCGGCACGAUAUGUGCCGAGCCGUGCCGAUGCGUGUCGGUCAAAAAAAUUCUUGCAUGCCGACACAUGGCAACAUGAAAUAUUUAUUUUCUUUAGUAACAAAAUAUUUUAACUAUUUAUUAUAUUUUUUUAUCACAUCUUUUGAACUUUAUUGAGGAAAUUAUUUACUAAUUUAAAGAAUAUAGGGUUUUUAGCUGUGCCAUCGGCACGGGAUCUGUAUCGUGCCGGUAUCUUGUUGGUGCGAUAUGGCACGGUGGAAACGGCCCGUGCCGACGGGUACUUAAAAUCUAGUUCGAAAUGCUGAGUGCACAUGCGGUUGUUACAAAUUAUUUAUAAUUACAAUGUUUUCCACUAUAUCUAAUUAAACAAAUUAUCUAUAUCUAUAUCUCUAUACUUAUACAUUAUUUUCCAUAUAGUCUUGCCACGUAGCGGUCCCUUCUUUAUCUUACCUUCUCCUCUCUUCUCUAAUCACAAUUGUUUCAGCCGCACAAAACCUUUGAUCUUCCAAUCAAUGAACGAUCUUAAACCCACACUCUUCGUUUCCCCACUAAGGAGUUACUAACGCAUUAUUAACUUUAAUAAUUAAUAAUUACGAUGAUCCGCACAAUUAGCACCACUAAAACCCCAUCAUCAUCAUCUCCUCUUUCUCGGAAUCAAAUAUCACACUCUAACAAUGUCCUAUGUUAUAAACCAACUUUUCUAUCUAUUAUUCUUAUUAUUAUUCUCGAACGCGAGGACGAACCCGUCAACGCCAUUCGGGUCGAGCCAUGAUUGUUCAGGCACAUUGUUUGGGUUCAGCGUAUGCUUGGAGUUAGUGGAGGGCGGGGCGAACGGGUCCAAAUCGGGGUUGCUGCUCUGGGUUCGGUCACGUGCUGAGUCGGAGUGUCACGUGCCUCUGUGAGGCCAUACGAGAUAGGCGUACCCGUGAACGUCACCAAAGCUCUCGCUUUGCCCUUGCUUUGUGGGCUCUCCUACACGCCAAUUGUCCUCUGUUACAAAACUAAGAGGUGUAUUUUUUUUUUAUGGUCCAAUUUCACCUGUACAAAUUGCUUUCAUAAGAAAAAAUAAGUAAAAUAAAAUUUUUUUGUACUCUUUUUUUCCCUUUUUUUGGCGCAUAAGAAUGGUUUAUAUUUUGUAAUUUUUUUAAUUUUUUUUAUCUUUUUGUUUUUAAAUUGUAUGUGUACUGAAAUUAGGGUUUUGUGGAUUGUAGAGCAGCAAAGAUAGAUUUGGAGUCAACGAGAGAAAAGAAGUGGAAUCAACGUGGCUGUGACGAAAAGGAGCUCGACAUUGAUAAUGGCGACAAAGGUAAUGUGGAGAUGGGGAUUCGUCUUCCCGAUGUCGGUAGUGAAAUCAAGAUACGUAUGGAGUAAUAAUUCUAUUGCUGCUUCUUUCAUUACUAUUUUUUAUAACUUAUUUAAUGAAAUUAUAAAUUUUGUUACAUUUGUACGUAUAUCUGUUUCAUCUCUUUUAUUUGUAUAUAUGUUAAUAUAUAUUAUUUUUAUUUAUUAAUGUCUUAUGACAAUUCAAAAAAUUUAAAAUUUUUACUUUAUGAAUUUUUUGUCUUUCUAUAGCAUCAAUCCGCCGCAAUGCACGGAUAAUUUCACUAGUAUAUACUUAUAACUGCGGCAUGAGUUGUAAAUCUUAUAUUUCACGAUUUAAAGGCUAAUUGUUACACACUAGUUAUAUCGACAUAAUUUGAUAUAGCUAAUAUGCAGCAUGUAACUCUUAUAAUGAGAUGUAAAAUGUAUACCCAGCUUUUGAGUUUACAGAUUUGUUUGUUAAUUCGCGAAUUAUUCACGAAUUAUUAAAAAUUCAAAUUAAACGGUCCGUUUACGAAUUUUUUUCAAAAAAAAAAAUUAUUAGCGAAUUUUUUGGCCAGCCGAAUAAUUCGCAAAUUAUUUUCGAAUUAUUGAAAAUUUAAAUAAAAAACUUAUAAUUUUUAUGUUUAAAUAUAGAUUAUCUUAUAUUUUAUAUAAAUAUGAGUUCUCUGUUCAUUCUCCCCCCCAAAAAAAAUAUUUAUAUAUAUUUUAUAAUUAAUAAUGGGCUAUUUUAAUCUAUUUCUUGCUUGAUUGUUUAUAUACCAUAGUGUAUAAUAUAAUUCUCUAUAGUUUUUUUUUUUAUUUAAUCUACUUUAUUUUGUAGCUUUUUAUUCUUAGAAUUGUAAAUGUUUACAAUAGUAGUAUAAAUCUAGAAAAAAAAUUGAAGUUUAAUAGGCAAAUUUUUUAUCCCGAAUUUUUAAUUGAUGAACGUAUAAUUUUCGUAUAAAUCACGUAUCCGAAUAAUUACCAAAUCCAUUUUUUAAGUCGAAUUUUUUAACAAAUUAAAAAAAUUAAAAAACGAAUUUUAUACGUAUUAUAACCGUACCGAAUUUUUUCCGAAUCCGAAUUAACUAACUAUGGUUUAAAGGUAGCAAUGCUCUUUUCAUACAUCCUACUUUCGUUUGAUUUAGCCCAUUUUCUAGUAAUACAAUAAAUCCUUCUAGAAAAUAACUUGGAACUAUAUUACAUUUUAAGAGAGUCUGAGACUUAUGCUGGGUUUAUUCCGAAAAAGUUAAAUUGGAGGUUUGGGUUUCAAAACUAUUGAACCUUCUUUUCAAAACAACUUAGAAUAUUUUAGGUAAAGAUAAUACUCUUGUUUUUGAAUUUACAAUAUCAUGUUUUCAUUCUUUAGAAUUUUUUUUUUCAUCGGUCAACUUUGUUUAUUUAAUGUACCCAAAAAUAAUCUUUGAAAAAUAUAAAAUAUGGUAUGUCAUAUUUGACAGUUGUUGACAUGAACGCAUUCUUAAUUGAAAACGAGUUUAUUUCAGUUCAUUAAAAAUUGCUCAAUCUUACAAUCUUUGUGUUAUUCUAUCAUGAAUUCAACUUUGGAGUUAUUUUAUCAUGAGAUUGUUCUGAUUAACUUUUGCUUUUAUUGUUAUCCAUAUUAAUAUUCACAUUUAUUAAUUUCCUCUAUGAAAGUCUUAGAAAAGAGAAAUUUCGCACUUUCUUUACUCUGAGACAUUUUAUUUAGAUAUUUACAAGCAAAUAUACAUUAAGGGUGUGUUUGGUUCGCAUUAUGAAAGAUAACUAGGAAUAAAAGAUAUCCUAGAAUUUUAUUCCUAUUCAUCCUAUUACUAAGAAUGUGGAAUUCAUGUGUUUGGUUUGCACGGUAAUAUUAAUUAGCCAUAUUAUUUAAUAUUACAAAAAAUAUACAAUUUAUUUAUUUAUUUAUUUAUUUAAUUUUAGAUAAUGUUACCAAAAAUUUCAACAUCUUUUUAGAAAAAAAGAAGAGAGAGUAUAAAUUAGAGAGAGAGCGCAUAAUUAAAAAAAUAGAAAGAAAAAUAUAGUCGAAAUUAGAGGAAGUGAGAGAGUUGAAAUUUUAGAAAAAGAGAGAGAGAGCAAGCUUAGUUUAGAGAGAGAAAAAAAAGUUGAAUUUUAGAGAGAAAAAUAAGUUUAGAGAGAGAUAUAAUGUUAGAGUAUAAAAAAAAAUAAUAUCAAUUAGCCGGCGGAUAGGAAGAAAGAAAGAGAUUAGACAUAUUAUGAUUACCUCAAUCCAUUAAUAAAAGGAUAUCCAUCCUCCUCAAGGGAAUGAGAUUAGUACUUUGGGGUGAAUCUUAUUCCUAAGUGAAUCCAAUAUUACCAACUAGAUUACUUAGUGCGUUUAGCCAAACACUGUCAUAUUUUUUUAUUCCCAUUGGAUUACUAGGAAUCUUUAAAACAUAGCGCGAACCAAACGCACCCUAAGAUUAUUGCACUAACAUUGGGUACAUUAAACUUGAUAGAAUACUUUUCUACUACUUUACUCUUAGAACUAGUUGAAAUCUAAUUGACCAAAUCCUAAUUGUUUUAGAUUGAUGGGCCUGGUUGCAAUUCAAAUAAAUUUGUAGAAUACUUUUGUUUAUUUUAUGUCCUGCUCUGAUGGGAUAUUUACUAGUGAUGUGCAACAAUUUUGGAAUAUCUAACUACAACUAUGGAUUCAGACUGACUUGUGUCCAGUUAUGGGUCAGAACUGUUUUGGGUUUUGAUUUUGUGUCUAACUAUGUAUCAAAACUUAACUGGGUCUUAGCUUUAGAUCUGAUUUUUGAGUCUAAUUAUGGGUCAAAACUAAAUUUGCCUUUGAUUUCUGAUCUACUUAUGGAUCAGAAUAAAUUAUAAUUACAUCUAAUUAAGAUUUGAAUGAUUCUAAUAAACGGCCAGAACUGAAAAAGCACUAGUUAUGAGUCUAAUUAGUUAGAGAUUUUACUUAAUGAGAAUCCUAUUUUGCUAAAACUAAGUUAGUGUUUUUCACCUUCUUUAUUCGAAUAAUAAGAUUAUUCUCUAUGAUUUGAAAGCCUAUAUAUUAGCAAAUUAAACAAAGAAAUAAAAAAUUAUAUAAAACAUUACAUAUAAUAAUAAAAUUCUUUCACAUCAAUAUAUAUUGUUUAAAACAAAUUUCACAUACAAAUAAUAUACUAAAUAUGCAUAUUCCACAAAUUAAAAAAACUAAUUAUUUUCAACUACGUAUGCGCCAAUUGCUAUUGCCAUGCGACUCAAAAGUUCGCGCUUUACUUUUGCAUAGCCGUCCGUUCCCCAAUGACUACCCCAAGAGUUUUUUAUCAAAUAAUAUUUGACGUCGUUUUCUACACCGUAUCCAACUAUAGUCACGGAGUGGCUCCCUCGUUUUUUUUCUCCAACAUGAGGACCCAUAUACACAACCUACAUGGAAAAAAAAAAUAGUCAUUAUCAAAUUAAAAAAAGGUCAUUAUCAAAUAUUAUAUUAUCAAAAGUUAAUUAAAAUUUAUAAGUAUUAGCAUAUAAAAAAUUAUUCAUUAUUAAAUAUUAUAUAUCAAAACUUAAAUUUAUAAAUACUAACAUCUCUCGGUAGAUGAGUAAAGCUGUUAUAUAUGUUUAUGGCAGCAGCAAUAGGUCGUUCUCUCAAAAUUUCUUCGAUUUCUCCCUCAUUAUGUCUUCUUUCCAAUUUGCUCUGAAAAUCUUGAAUCUUCACUCUCUGCUUCUUCUGUAAAAAAUAUUUAAAAUUAUCCAAUAAUUAAUAGAUGUAUUAAUACUAAAUAAGUUUUUUUAGUGUAUAAGUUAACUUACAUCUUCAUUCAUUUGACAAUAUUGGCGUCGUGCAACAUAUGGAUUAUCAGCUUCCAUGGCAAUACCAUAUGUUUUGAUGUACUCUAAACACUUGCUAUGUGUGCACUGUAUACAUCCAACGGCGUCUAUAUGUUGUUCACGGGAAGAUGGAUACAUUUCAUGAUAACAGUUUACUAGCUCUUGUUUUGAUAAUUCAAUGAGUUGACCAUACUUUUUUGCAUAUUCUGCUUCAACUAAAGUGGUGGAAGAAAAGGCAUAGCAACAUUCUUCGUAUAAUUCAUUAAAGAAAAAAAACAUUAGUUAAUAAAACAAUAAUGAAUUGUAUUAAUCUCUACAAAAAAUCAUUCUAUUAAGUAUACUUACGACACUCUCUUUGAUUUCCUACGUCCUCCCGAAUUAUAUUAAUUGGCUUGUCGUAAAUCAAAAGAUGCCUAUCAUAUUAAAACAAAGAUAUGAAAAUGAGAAUUAAGAAAAUAAGUAAUUUCUAUAUAUCAAAUAAAAAGUAUAAUCUAUGAUAAUUUUUGUUAUUUGAUAACUUUUUUAUUGGAAAAUUAGGAUAUUCGCUUAUUUUAACGAACUUAGUUUAUUUUACAAAAUUCAUUUGCAAAUAGCUCGAGGUAAAUUAAUUAAAGAAAAUUUAGUAGAAUUAAAAUUAUUAAAAUAUUAGUUGGUAAAUCAAAACUUAAACUAGAUUAAAACUAAUCCUAUUUUAAAUAGGUUUCAUAUAUAUAUAUAUAUAGCUAACGACUCAAAAUUCUUUUGAGUUAUUACCAUGUUAGUGUGGGUUGCGAGGUGGAGUUAGAAACAGACCCAAUAAAAAUAAUCUUAUCUAUCAAAAAAAUGCACUAUAUAAUUUACAAAGUGCAUGGUUAUGUGGGAGUGAGAUUCUCUUCUCACACUUUCAUUGGAUAAAAAUGUGUGAAAGUACUAUUAUACAUGAGAUUUGCAUUGAUACUUUGGCAGCCAGACUAACUAAAUUUAAAUUAUAUUAAUUACCUAAGGUCUCGUUUGGCAUGCAUUGUUGCUGGUUAUAAGAUUAUCAAGAAAAUGCACUUUGUGAUUUACAAAGUAGUUCAAUGUGGGAGAGAGGUUCUCUUCUCACACUUUUAUUGGAUAAAAAUGUGUGAAGUACUAUUAUACAUGAGAUUUGCAUUGAUACUUUAGUGACAAACUAAUGAAACUUAAAUUAAUUAAUUAAGUAAGGUCUUGUUUGGCAUGAAUUGUUGCUUCUCGUUUGGCAUGCAUUAAUUUGUUGCUAGUUUUUACUUUCUUAAAUAUAUAAAAAUUUUAUGUCAAAAACUAUAAGAUUAAAUGAUGUACUACAUGUAUAUGACUUUUGCAUUGCAAGUUAAACAAAUCAUGAUAAGAAAAGAAAAAUCAUCCUACAGAAAUCAAAUUAAGCAUAUGAAAAUAUAUUGUGUUUGAAAAAAAAAAUUAAAAUAAUAUAAAAUAAAAUCUAAAAUAUUUUACUAUAUGCACCGUCUAAUUGAGUAGCUGAUAAAAUUUAAAGAUAACAAUUUAUCACUACUCUAUAAAAAAAUAAAUAUUUUGAAGAAAAUGUGUAUAAUACUAGCAUUCACGUACGGGAUUUGCAUGGGACCAUGGGUACUUCUCCCACCGUCUAAAUUUGAGUAACUAGAGAUAACUAAAGAAUACACAUGCACGUUAACUACUUAGCUUGAGUUAAUUGAGUGAGCUAUUUUUACGUAUUAGCUAAAUUGGUUCAUGAUUCACUUGUGAGGCCUCUUUGGAGAAAUUGUUGCCUGCAACCAACAUAUAAUGAUGCAUGCAUUAGUGGAAGAAUCUAUGCUUUUAGAUGGAUGAGAUGUAUAAGUUGUGAACCUAACAUAUAUAAGUUGCAUUGCUCAUAAAACCAAGUAAUAAUUUCACAAAAAGUUCAAAAAUUGGUAGUACAAUUAAUGUACCUAAUUUUAAAGUUCAAAUGCGCGCACCAGAAUCUUUUAAAAUUUUGCUCAAUCAUCCAAACUUUAAAAGUUUCUUAUUUGUCAUCCAGAACUUUCAAUUCUUUAACAUUUAACUACUUACUUUAUACUUUGUUAAUUUAAACUGACUGACAAUACCUAAAUGGUCAAGAAACAAUAAACAACACAUGCCAAAGCUAUAGAAAGGAAUUUUUUUUUUUUUUUUUUCCAAUGAUGGAAUUUAGUUUUACAGUAAAAAACAUAUUUUUUAUUAUUAACUAUUAAAAAUUAUAGUGAUAUUCUCAGCAAAAGAAAUAUUAAUGAAGUGUGUUUUUUUUUUUUAUUAUUUCUUGAUCAUUUGGCUAAUUAAUAUUAUAGAAACCUUAAAUAUACAAAAUAUUGGAAAUACGUUCUAGGUGAUAAAUAUAUAAUUUCUGUAGUUACAGAUGGUUAUGUGCAUCAGACUGAAAGUGGAAGUGCAAUCAACCCCUAUUUUCAGACCAAACUUUCCAUGAAUAAAUAGAUAGUUUUAAAAUUUUUACAGUAGUAGUACAUCCAUAUAUACUAGUUAAGGACCCAUGCGAAUGCCGCGAUAUAAAAUAUUCUAAUCAUAAAAUUUAGUUAAUUUUUAUUUUUUAUAAAAAUUUAUUAGCUUGUUUUUUUAAUUAAAUAAGUAAUAAUUAAAUUAAUUUAAAUAAAAAUAACUUAAGUUAGUACAUAUACGACAUAAAUUUUUAUAUUAGAUUAUUAGUGAUCAUCUCGUUAAUAACUACAAAUGUAUAAGUGAAUGUGUUAAAUUAUUAAGCUAAUUACAACACAAUUUAUUAUUUUGUAAAGGUAUGUGUAUCAACUAGGAUUCAAACUAGGAACUUCGGGUAUCAAGUAACAAGUCAUUUGCUGCUUGCGCUAGGGACGGUCGAUAAUGACCUCUCAUAGUUGAAGAGGAGAGUUAGGGUGACACAUGUUUUAUGUGCUUUCCUUAACUCUCCUUUCAGAUAUUACUGGUGAAGGCAUCCACAUGUUACAGUGGAUUGGUACGGCAGAAAUAAAUAAAUAAAUAAAGCUAAAGAAAGAAAAAAUAAUAAAAAAAAGAGUCAAAGAAUAAAAAUAAAAACAAACUAAAAAAGAAGCAGCAACUAUUGCAGUAAAAGUAUAAGAAUAAAAGUAUAAGAAAAGUAAUAAAAAAAAAAAAAGAAUAAAGGCAAAAUAAUAAGAAUAAUAAAUUCAAUUUAUAGCAUCAGUGAAAGUUGAGAAUUAAAAUGUCAUAUGCCUGAGAGUUUGAUUCAGAAAUUGUAACUAAUUAAAGCUUGAGAACUAAUAAUUUGAGCAAGAAAUAAUAAAGCAUUAAAGUUUGAAAAUUAAAGUAUUACGGAUUCUAUAAUUUGAGUAAGAAUUAAUAGCGGCCAUUUGAUAAUCGCCGUUAUCAAAUUAUCGCUAAAUUAUUAUUUUAUUGUAGUGACUGUACUCAUAUAUUUUGUCUUGAAUGAGAAUUCUUUUUAUUUUGGAAGGAUGUUGCAUUCGAUGUGCGAAAAAAUUUCGAGCCCGCUAAUCCCGUGGCGCGUCUUGCCACUCUGGCUCGUUGCCGUCACAUCCUGUCGAGGGAACAAGAAACCGGCAGAUCGCGGAGUUUGCCCACUUUCUCUUUCUCCCUUUCUCCCUAUCUGACUAUUAGGGGUGGAAACGAGCCGAGCUCGAGCGAGCUUAUGUCAGCUGCCGAGCAAGCUUAAUCCGAGCUUUUCGAGCUUAUAUAUAUAUACAUAUAUAUAUCAUCCCGAUAACACGAUAAUCCUCGUGUUGUUUGGAACACAAGGAUUCAAGAAUUGACAGGUAGUUUAAACUAACUACCAAUCCCACUUUCUCUCUUCUCUUUAACUUCUUUUCUUUAAAAGAAGUUAAAGAGAAGAGAGAAAGUGGGAUUGGUGGGUAGUUUAAACUACCCGCCAACUCUUGAAUCCUCGUGUUCCCAUCGGGAUGAGAUAUAUAUAUAUAUAUAUAUAUAUAUAUAUAUAUAUAUUACAUAAAAUUAAUAUAUAUCCAAAAUUAAAUUAAACCCGACAAUAACAACCGAGUAUUUUAUUUGGGUUGUUCAUGUUGGCACGUUAACUCGGGUUGAGUGUUAAAUAUAUUGUGUGAGAGAAAAAGUCUGAAAGUGACAACGUGUAUUGGGAUUUUGCACUAUUGUAAGUUUAAAGGUUUAGGGAUUAAAAAAAGGGGGGGAGAGAGAGAGAAGAGAGAGAGAGUCUGGGAGUGGGUCAAUCCGCCAGUGGGAUCGAGUGUAAAGAACGUUAAUAAAAUAUAAAACUUGAUAACCUGUACAACGUAGUUUAACAUCCAUUACAAGAUAUUUUUAAUUUGAUGACUAAUAUAUUACAGUUCUUAAAGUUAGCCGAGCAAAUCUCGAGCUCGAGCCGAGCUGAGCUUUAAUCCGAGCGAGCUCGAGCGGAGCUUAAUUAAAGUUCAGCUCGAACUCGGAUCUAAAUCCGAGCCUUAAUUAAAGUUCGGCUUAAACNCUCUCCCCCUCUCUCUCGCACGCCACUCUCUCUCUCUCUCUCUCUCUCUCUCUCGCACGAACACCUAUCAUCUUCUAUUGCGCCGUCCUCCCAGGUAAUCAUCACGAUCUCCUUCCCUCCAUUCGUCAUUUCUGUAAAAAAUAAUAUUCAAAUGACCACAACAAGGGUAAUUUUGAAAAAAACUAUACUUUUAUGUCAGGAUUACUAAAUUUUAUAAACUGAACCAAACGUAUUAAUGCUAUAAACACUGUAAUCUAAUAUUACAUUACUGAAUUAAACCAAACGUACUAAUACAGCAUCAGUAGUAAUCUCACGCCGAAAUUCAAGAUACUUGGAUAUGUCGAGAUACUUUGUAAUAUUACAUAACUCGAACCAAACGGGCCCUUAAUAUAAUCAUUCUUCUUCUUUUGCUAUUGUCGUUAUUUUUUUGUUUCGUCUUUUUUCUUCUAAUAACUUUGUUAUUAUUGUUGUUCUUGCUGGUUCUUCUUCUUGGUUCUUCUUCUUUAGCUUCUUUUUUUAUUUUUUUAUAUUUUUACUGCUACUAUAAAUAUAUUUAUUAUUCUUAUGUUUGUGUCUUUAUUCUUUUUUCAUUUCUUUUAUAUUUAUUAUUCUUAUGUUUGUGUCUUUAUUCUUUUUUCAUUUCUUUUUAUGCUUUUAUUCUUAUAUUUUAUUGCACCACCUGUUGCUGCUGCUGCUUCUUCUUCAACUAUUACUUUUUUUCUAAUUCUUUAGUUUCUUUAAAUUUUUUUAUGUUCUUAUUGUUUUUUUCCUUCGGUUUUUUUCUUAUUUAUUUGUCUCCACAUAACUGACUUCCCGCAACGCGCCGGUGUCUUCACUAGUUUUACAAUACCAGCUAGUCUACUACAGACCGUAACCCAAGAACAACUUUUAUAACUUGAGCUCUCUAUAUUACUCUUCAGAUUUGCUAGAAUUCAACUCUUUAAGAGCAGACAACUUAGCAUGCCAUCAAAAUAUCUAGUUUAAUGAUCCGCGUUUUGUCGAUGUCAUAGAUUUCUUUGCAUAAAUACAUGCUUAAUCUGAAAGCGAUAACUUAAUCAAACGAUUUAGUAAUCCAUCAUUCCCAAUUUAAAGAAACCAAAGUUGAUAAAUCUAGUGGAUUAGAAUGGAUUGUCAAACAUGGCCUUCAAAUAAUUAGCUGCAAUAGUUAGGAAAUGCGCGAUAAGAUUGGCAAAGCACAAAACAAACAGCGAGCGAUUUUGUAUCCACUAAACUCCUCUAAAGCUGAUCUAGCUAUUAUGUCCAGAUGAUACAAUUUGGAACUCAGAAUAUGGCAUGUAAAAACAGUUUUCCUAGGGUAAUAAGGUUAACAUGCAAUGGCUAGUAUAACUCAAUUCUUAAUUCUUCACUUAACAACUUGGGACUAACGAAUUUGUCCAGGUCUAAAUCAACAAACCAGAAUUUAGACCGUGCGCAUUUCAAUUUCCGCAACUUGGACCAUUUGUGAACGACAGAGUCGUGCGCGAACAUGUUUGCUUCACAUUAUCAGUUGUUUGGUCGAGAUCUCAGCUGGAAAGUGCAUCUAUAAAGAUAGCANUUAUUCUUUUUUCAUUUCUUUUUAUGCUUUUGUUCUUAUAUUUUAUUGCACCACCUGUUGCUGCUGCUGCUUCUUCUUCAACUAUUACUUUUUUCUAAUUCUUUAGUUUCUUUAAAUUUUUUUAUGUUCUUAUUGUUUUUUUCCUUCGGUUUUUUUCUUAUUUAUUUGUCUCCACAUAACUGACUUCCCGCAACGCGCCGGUGUCUUCACUAGUUUUACAAUACCAGCCCAAGAACAACUUUUAUAACUUGAGCUCUCUAUAUUACUCUUCAGAUUUGCUAUAAUUCAACUCUUUAAGAGCAGACAAUUUAGCAUGCCAUCAAAAUAUCUAGUUUAAUGAUCCGCGUUUUGUCGAUGUCAUAGAUUUCUUUGCAUAAAUACAUGCUUAAUCUGAAAGCCAUAACUGAAUCAAACGAUUUAGUAAUCCAUCAUUCCCAAUUUAAAGAAACCAAAGUUGAUAAAUCUAGUGGAUUAGAAUGGAUUGUCAAACACGGCCUUCAAAUAAUUAGCUGCAAUAGUUAGGAAAUGCGCGAUAAGAUUGGCAAAGCACAAAACAAACAGCAAGCGAUUUUGUAUCCACUAAACUCCUCUAAAGCUGAUCUAGCUAUUAUGUCCAGAUGAUACAAUUUGGAACUCAGAAUAUGGCGUGUAAAAACAGUUUUCCUAGGGUAAUAAGGUUAACAUGCAAUGGCUAGUAUAAUUCAAUUCUUAAUUCUUCACUUAACAACUUGGGACUAACUAAUUUCUUACAAUGUCAUCCUUAAGCAGGAAGAAUUUGUCCAGGUCUAAAUCAACAAACCAGAAUUUAGACCGUGCGCAUUUCAAUUUCCGCAACUUGGACCAUUUGUGAACGACAGAGUCGUGCGCUAACAUGUUUGCUUCACAUUAUCAGUUGUUUGGUCGAGAUCUCAGCUGGAAAGUGCAUCUAUAAAGAUAGCACAGAGAGACAUUAGGUAGGCCAACAAAAUCUGCUUAACUGAAAAUUUGGAGGGCAAAGUAAAUAUCUACCAAACAUGAAGUGAUUACCCCCUAUUCUUUCUAAUUCAUAGUACAAUUCAGACAUGAGAUCUCUUAUUUCUUGCAACAGCUAAAGCCUAUUUCUGCCAAAUAUAAAACUGCAGUACAGUUUGGCCCAAAUAUCUCUUUCAAUUGCCAAAAAAUCAACAAAGAUUAACACUGUAAGUCAUAAAAUUGUUAGAUUACCUCAAACUUGGAAUGCAUUUGGUUCUGAACGACAAUCUAUUAGCGGCAAAGCAUCAAUGGUAAAGCAGCAACCAGGAGAAGAACAGAAUUAUAAAUGACACCUUAAGAUUCUAGAAUUCGCAAACCAUGUACCUUGAAAUUAAACUGAACCAUCAUCAAAGACCAGAAGCAACUCCAUCUACGAGAAAUAAACCUUCCAAAUUGCCCUACCGUUCAAACCUUUAUAUAUGGAUUGGAUCGAAGAACAGGGAAUAAAAAUGCAGAGUUUCCAAGAUCCACAUUUAAUUAACUGUUUGUUUAGCAUGACCAUUUUCUCUAUUGCAAGAAGCAAACAACAGCAUUUGAAACAGGAAAAGCCCUCGUCUUUUUCUAUGGCAGCAAACUGAAAUAAAAUUUCAUUGACUUGUCUGUCUCCAAGAACUAAGUAGGAUUUAUUUCUCACAAAUAUAAAGGCAAACAAGCAAACUCAAUAUAUUGUUAUAUUUCAACUGCCUUUCAGACAAAUACCAGUCAAAAAUUAGUAGAAGCCAAUACCACUUAGAAUAUAAGGGCAACAUAUUUGCAUAAGGUAUGUGUUUUACACUACAAAGUUUUGUAUCUCACACCGAACCCUACAAGUAGAUAAAUUUGACUCUUCACGAGAGCACCAACAAACUCCCAUAUUCAGGAAAAGUAGCAUCUUUUAUUUGUUAAAGCAAAGAUAAGAAGAUAAAAUGCUACAAUAUAACUUGUUAAAGCCUCCAAAGUACUAACAUCAAUAACUAAGAACUUAAAAUAAAGAAAAACCAGCAAUCAAAAUAUAUAUAUAUAUAUAUAUAUAUAUAUAUAUAUUUCCCACCAUUAUGCACGACCAAACAGCACCUGAAUGGCGAAGCAGCCUGGUGUAGAGCAUGACAUUCGGCCUACAAAGCAAAUAAGGAAACAUCUAGUUGUGUUAUUGCAAAGAGACAGAAAAUUUAAACAAACAAGUAUUGCUAAUUAUAUUUCAUUAAUUAGCAUAAUCAUAUAAAGAUAACAUGGAGCAUGUUAUCCAACACUUUAUUAGGAAUACUCUCAGGAAGCAUUAGAAACUAUUCUGCAACAAUUGAUAUGCAAGAAAUAAUUAGCAUCUCUUCCUGAAUCUUAUGAGAAUCAGUAAAAGAUAUAGUCCUCCUAACAAUUCAAAAGCCUCAUCCAAAUUCCUAAUUUUACAAGUCCAAGAAGUUACCAAUUUGGACAAAUAUAUAGCUAGCUAAUGUCGUAGCUGAAAUUUUUUUUCAUUAAAAAAAUUAGCACAAUGAGGAAAAAAUAAAAACUUAACAUAAAACAAAGUUGAACAUUGAUGUAACUAAGCAUUGGAAGUAGAAAUACAAGACGAACAGAAUAAAUAAUUUUAGCAUAGGAAACCUCAUUCUCCUUUUCUACAACAUAUCGCAUGACGCAUGGUUUUCAAGUUAGACAACAGAUAUCGAAUUAAAUAACAAAUGCUCUAAUUAAUUUAAGUACUAUAUACACAAACUAUGACCUAACUAUACAAACAAAUAAAUAAAAAUAUACCUUUACUAACUCGCAGUUGGCUUGAGUCUACAAAGAGCAACUCUAAUGUUACGUUGCACCCCAUAAAACACCUUCGCCUGGAAGAUUUUCCACUCAGCUUCACUGUCAACUGCUUGGAAGGUAACAUAGUACCAAAGUCCUGCUGCGACACUACACGUUGCCUUCUCUAUUUUUACAAACACAUAACUCAUAUCCUACAUUACGAAAACAUCACGAAAUCAAUUUUAUCAAAAAAAAAAAAAAAAAAAAAAAAAACACACAAAGAAAUAAACAAUAAGAAAAGACAUACACAAGGCAACAUGAACAUACAUUUUCCUUAUUAAAAUGUUCGAUUGCCAAUUUAGUACAUCUGAGAAGAAUUUCAUCAUCAAAAUCCGUGAUCGCCGUAAGGCCAAACUCACAAGUGCCUGGAAAUGGAUCAACAUCGAAUCCCUGUAAAAGACAUGUAUUAACAAUUAGUGAAAAAAAGGUUAUGAAACUUUAACUCUCAAAAAGAAGACAAUAAUUAUUAAACACCUCGCUUUCCUUGAUUUGUUUGUAAUAUCUGUCCCAUUCUUCGCGAGUCCUACUGCGAUUACCAUUAGGCCAAACAUAAACCUCAUCUUCCUCUGAAGUAUGCUCAUAAACCCUUUGAUCCUUCUCGUUCCCUUUCUCUUCCUCCAUUUCACUUUGGGUAUCUUCCUCCUUGCCCUCUUCCCUCAUCUCUUCGCUUUCUUCCUGCAGUUUCAACUUCUUCUGCAGCGGCCCUUCAGGUAUCAGGUUCUUGGAAUUCUGCCUGUAUCACAAAAUGAAAUAUAUCUAUCAUAAAAAAUUUAAACAAAUUUCAAUCAAAACUAACGACAAUUUAAAAAAAAAAAAUCUUAAAUUGGCUCAAAUAGAAGAAGAAUUUAGCCGAUGCAUACGAAACAGAGACCAAACAGGGCAUAAUUCAGGUGAUACAUUCCUAGAUUAGGAUUUUCUAAUUACGGAAUAAUAUAUUAUUUAUUUUAAAAUAUUUCAGUUGUUUCCAAUAAAGUGUAAUUAGGGUUAGGUUAUAGAAAUGUGUAUCUUUUAGGGUUUGGAGAAUAAGAAGAAAUUGGUCGUGUUGUUCUCUUCUCCCUUAUCUAUCUUUAUCUCUCUAAUAUCUCUCUCUUUAGGAGGUUCGAUCCCCUCGAAGUGAUCGUUUAUCCCUAUUGAUACUAAUAUCUCUCUCUUUAGGAGGUUCGAUCCCCUCGAAGUGAUCGUUUAUCCCUAUUGAUACUAAUAUCUCUCUCUUUAGGAGGUUCGAUCCCCUCGAGGUGAUCGUUUAUCUCUAUUGAUACAAUACAACGGUAUCAAUUGGCAUCAGAGCCUUGUAUGUAUAGUGUAAACUCCAGCAAAAAAAGAUUUUCUGAAGAAGAUGAAUGGGGAUUUCAUAAGAAAAGAAGAGAUGAACGCUCGGUUUUCCAAUGUGAAGGCCCAACUCAACAAAGUGGAGACCGAGGUAAAGCUCACUAGCGAUUCUAUUAAUGAUCUCAAAAAUUUGAUCAUCCCUAUGAGCACGAAGAUGGAUUUGCAGCCGCAUACGCCAUUUGAAGAUACAUUCGUCUCGAAUUUCGACAAAAAUCAUCCCUUGCUCCCAACUCCUAUUAAGAAGGAAGCAUUGAUCCUAUUCAAAAUGUUCGUGACUAUCAGGCUCGACUCGAAAUGCUUGCCAAUCGCACUUAACAUUUUUCAUAAGUUUCUUGCCAAUCGCACUUAACAUUUUUCAUAAGUUUCUUCAUUAGUGGGCUGAAGGAGGAUCUAAAGUAUAACGUCCGAGCCUUCCGACCAACUUCUAUAUCAGCUGCUAUUGGUCUUGCUCGUCUACAAGAGGAGAAGUUAAUAGCUCAACAUCGUAUUAUGAAGCCUAAGCCUUCCCUUUUGUGCCCUUCCAUGACACCAAUAUCUAAUGAGGCGCUUCCACCCAUAAAGCGCCUUACACCGGCUAAAGCAAAAGUAAGAAGAGAUCAAGGCCUUUUGCUACAAUUGUAUGAAAAAUAGUCCUGGACAUCGAUGAAAAUCAAAGCAACUAUUUUUGAUCGAGGCCGAACGUGAUGAAAACAGAGAAGAUCUAAAGAGGAUAGGCAAAGGUUGAGGAUUUUCCAUCUUGAGGGCAAGGUGGCUAUCGAGGGCGGUGGAAUGACAUAUUCCUAGAUUAGGCUUUUUAAUUAUGGAAUAAUAUAAUAUUUAUUUUAGAACAUUUCAGUUAUUCUCAGUAAAGUGUAACUAGGAUUAGGUUAUAUAGAUGUGUAUCUUCUAGGGUUUGGAGAAAAAAAAAAAUUUGACCGUCUUGUUCUAUCUUCCCUCCCGUUCUCUUCCCUCUUAUCUUAAUCUCUUUAAUAUCUCUCUCUUUAGGAGGUUCGAUCCCCUCGAAGUGAUCGUUUAUCCCUAUCGAUACGGUAGAACCGUAUCAUCAAGCUAAAUUUCGUAAAUAAUUUUUUGGAAGGACUAUUUUUAUAAUUAUAAAAUAUGUUAUAAGUAUAUUAAUAAAAGAAAAGUCAACCAGCCAUCAUAAUCAAAAUAAUCAAAUGCAUAUCAAACGGCACAAACGGCAUUCUAAUCAUUUAUUACAAUCCAAAAUUGAUCAGAGUCAAACACAUAUCAAAAUCGCACAUAAAAAAAAAAGCACAUCCUGACAUAUGUGUACAGAAUAUGGUAACAAACGAGAUGUAUACCUUUGCCAGGUAAAGACAAUCUUCAGGAGAAGCAAGGCCUUCGCGAAUAAAGGCGGUGCGAAGGCACAGGAGAAGGAGACUCAGACUUGCGCUGCAAGUUUUGAUUUUAAUUUAGAGUAAACUUCAAGUCCCAUCCAUGUAGUUUCGCACUUCCUCAUUUUAGUACUCUAUAAUUUAAAGUGUAUCAAUUUAGUGCCCUCUGGUUUUAUUUUUCUCUUUUCAUCAACUUCUUCGUUAAUAUUUCGUUAAAUUAUAUACAAAAAAACUUCAGAUACCCACCUAGGUUUAUCGAAUAUUUACUUUAAUACUCUUUAGUUUUAACUUUGUCAUUGAUUUAAAGAAAAAAAUUAGUAGAAUUGAUAAUAAAAGGAUAAAAAUAAAACCACAGGACGCUAAAUUGAUACACUUUAAAGUAUAAAAUAAUAAAAUGAGAAAAUGUGAAAUCACAGGGGUGAUAUUUGAAAAUUUUCUUUUAAUUUUUAGUUUUUUGUUUUAGCAGUGGGCGGUGGCGUCGGGUGCUUCCCAUACGUGCGCUGCUGGCCCGGUACUUGGCAAAAGCCAAAACCACCUGAGGAACGAAUCACAUCCCCAGUGACGUUUCUGCCCUACUUUUGGAACAAAAGGCCAAAAAAAAAAAAACUUUAAACUAACGUAAAAAAGAUUAUGAACUUUAGUUUUCUUUUUUGUUUUUUUCCCAAUUAGAAUCUUAUUAUUCUAUUUGAAUUGGAUUCUAAUUCGGUUUCAGAUUUUGAAUUCCGAAAUUUUUCGGAUUCAAAUUCAGAUUUACUAUUUUUUUUCCCUAACUCAUAUUCAGAUUCGGAUUCAGAUUCGAAUAUGCAAUUUUGAAAUAUCCCAACAAAACUCUCACAACUUUUUUUUAUUUUAGCUUUAAAUAGAAUUAGGCUGGUAUACUUCCGUGCUACCAAAUUGUUUUCAAUAAUGCAACCUCCAAAUCGACGAUCGGCUCCGUUAGACUUGAUUUAUACUAUUGAAAGUAUUUGAAAACUAAAUUUCAUAAUUUUUCGACAUCAUUUGUCUAGUGAUCAAAAGUUACCAAAAUUGACAAUUUUAAUAGUCGACGUGAUGUAUUUGUGAAUUUAACGGUGUAAAACAAUUCAAAUCUGAUAAAAUCUUUAUAAAAAAUUCUUUUCACUAUUUAGAGUAAGAUCAGUACCUCUGAUCUUAAAUCAAGUCUUUUAUCAUCAUUUUUUAUAAGUUUUUUUAUUUUCAGUCGUUUAUUUUAGACUACUCAUUGAUAGAUAAAUAAUGUCGACAAAUUAUGAAAUUUAGUUUUCAAAUACUUUUAAUAGUGUAGAUCAAGUCUAAUGGAGCCGAUCGUCGAUUUGGAAGCGGCAUCAUUGAAAAUAACUUGGUAGCACUGAGACCUCUGUGCUACCGAUAGUAUACCAGCCGGACUCCUUUAAAUAUUAAUUAAAUAAUAUAAGUGGUAUGGUAUCCAAUGUUGAUUUAGGGGCCGUUUGGUUCAGGAACAAAGCGGGAAUAAAUACUUGUUCCUUUUUUUGUUUCCAGAUGCUAUGUUUGGUACUCGAGAACAAGCAGUUUUCAAGUCUCUGGAAUAAGCAAGUAUAAUCCGGUAUAAGUUUUGAAUUGUUAUUCCAACUUUUUUCUAGAACAAGCUUGUUCCCAAGUAGAAACAAGAUUAAUUAAAGUUUAAAUUUAAUUUUAACUAUGAUAUUAAAUUAUUAAUUAAUCUAAUUAAUAUAUUAGAAUUAUUAUCCAUUGUUUAAAUAAUAAAGUAAUUAAUUAAUUAAUUUAUUAUGUAUAAUUAAUUAGCUAAUUAAUUAUUAAUAAUUUAAUGUGUUUAUCUAUAAAUUAAUUUUUAUAUUGAUCAACCAUUAAUAUUAUUAUUAUUCUAAUUAAUUUUUUAAUUAGUUAUCAGACUAAAAUAAUUUACUAACUAAUUAAAAAUCUAAAUUAUUUUUUAUAGUUAAUUAAUUAAUUGAUAUAUUUUUAUUAUCUUCUAUAAUAUUCAUAGGUAAUAAAUUUAUUAAUUUAUUAAAUUAUUUUAAUUAAUAUUUUGAUGUUAAUUAACAGGAUAAAACAUUUUUAAUUUAAAAUUAUAACUCUUGUUUUUUCUGUUUCAAUCUAAUCAUCCAAACACUAUUUACCUUAUUUUCAAAAACAAUCUAAUUUUUGUCUAAAUGCAAAAUUAGUCUAGUUUCUGUUUAUAUCUAAACUUAUAUCUAUUUGUGAAAUAAGUAGUUUUUACUCGUAUCUGAACCAAGAUUCUUUUUUAUUAGUUCGGUUUGGACUACUAUUGAUGUGACAAACUAUUUAUUUACCUUAUAGUCUCUCUUCUUCUUUUUUUCCUUAUUUCUUUAAUUUAUGUUUUUUUUUUAUUAUUUUGAAGUGGUGGUUUCAUCACAAACAAAUAUCUUCCUUCGUUUCUUUGUCAUUGUACCAUCAACUAAAACCUUUUCUUAAAAUAGAGAUCAAAGGUUGUGACUAUUUGCUUAGGAGGCCGUUUCUAGAAGAAGGAAUGCAAGCUUACAACAAAAUUCUAUUAUGUGCGGAAUGGCAAUCUUGGUGGGUCUGCUCCUACAGGCAACCAUUAUUUGCAGCCGUAAGGUGGAGUGAGGGUUUUGAUGCGGUAUGCUUUGAGGUUGAUCUGAACUUUCAUAGUACAAUCAGAGGUUAAAUUUUGUGUGAAAGUUGCAGAUUUGGGCUUCAGCUCCCUAUGGGAGAAGAGUAAAAUUACGCUGUUGUUUUCUGAAAUAUUGCAUAGCCCCCCGACCUCCACCACCUUGAUAUUUAACAGUUUGUUUUGAUUUUGAGUGACCAAGUAAAUUUGAUUUGCCUAAUGUCUAUCUUUUUUUUAUUUUUUUUCUUUCUUUCUUUCUUUCUUUCUUUUUUUAGCUACUUGCUUUUGCUUCUCCUCUACUUACCACUAUAAUUUUAUGGCCUUUGAAUCAUUUGAAGCAUUUUGGUUGUUUUCAUUUUAGUCUUUACUGUGUCGUGAUUAUCUAACAAACUCUUUAGGUUAGCUGCAAAAGAAGUGCCUUUUAUUGUUGAACUACAAUGGGGGUGCCGUAUGCUGCUCUUGUUGUUGCUAUUAUUAUUAUUAUUAUUGUUGUUGUUGUUGUUGUUGUUGUUGUUGUAGUUCUUCUUCUUCUUCUCUUAUGUUGUUGAACUAUAGAAGGGGUGCUUCUUCUUCUUCGUCGUCGUCCUGCUCCUCCUCCUCCUCCUCCUCCUCUCCUAUUCUUGUUGCUAUUAUUAUUAUUAUUGUUAGAAGGGGUGUAAAGUCUCAUCUUUCAUUUUUUGGCUGGAAAAAGUGGUAAAGUUGGAAGACUUUGCAUUCAAGUAUCUCCUGCACUGCAGGACUAUUUUGGCAGGGGCUACUCGGCAGGCAACCAUUUUGCAUUCAGAUUGACAUUACAGAUAUGAGGGACUAGUGCACAAUAUCCAAGAUUCGAGGGAAUCACAUGCCUCCCAAAAUGAGAUAGAGAGAGGGAGAAAAACUCUUAUUAUCGAUGAAUCGGCAUCUCUGAAACAUGGUCAAAUUAGAGAAAAGCUUUCUAAGAAGAGAGGCGAUGAUGGUUCGUAAUCCUCCUCUCAUGCUCUGCCACUCCCUGAUUUAGUAAUGGCGUGGCAACCCUGGAGGUAUAUUGUCUUAAGGUGACAAUUACAUGUUGUGGUUGUGAGACUGGUUUGUGGACAACAAAUGGCAACCAGGUUGGUAUUCAUUGCUAGGUGGGAGUGGUGAAGACCGAAGAUAGGAGGGAGGCUAAUGGAAUAGUUCCCCUGAGCCUCUGCUUCUAAAUCCUGUUUUAUUGUUCUAUGAAUUAUGAAGGCUUUUUGUGGACUUCUGUCCAUGCAUCUUGUGCAGGUAAUAAUUUCUCGAGCUUAUCUUUUUCUGAUAAGGUUGAGGAUUUUCCAUCUUGAGGACAAGGUGGCUAUCGAGGGCGGUGGAAUGACAUAUUCCUAGAUUAGGCUUUUUUAAUUAUGAAAUAAUAUAUUAUUUAUUUUAAAACAUUUCAGUUAUUUUCAAUAAAAUGUAACUAGGGUUAGGUUAUAUAGAUGUGUAUCUUCUAGGGUUUGGAGAAUAAGAAGAAUUUGACCAUCUUGUUCUAUCUUCCCUCCCGUUCUCUUCCCCCUUAUCUAUUUUUAUCUCUCUAAUAACUCUCUCUUUCUUUAGGAGGUUCGAUUCUCUCGAAGUGAUCGUUAAUCCUUAUCGAUACGGUAGAACUGUCUGUAUCAUCAGGCCAAAUUUCGUAAAUAAUUUUUUUGAAGGACUAUUUUUACAAUUAUAAUAUGUUAUAAGUCUAUUAAUAAAAGAAAAGUCAACCAACCAUCGUAAUCAAAAUAAUCAAAUGCAUAUCAAACGGCACAAACGGCAAUCUAAUCAUUUAUUACAAUCCAAACUUAAUUAAUCAGAGAGUCAAACACAUAUCAAAAUCGCACAUAAAGAAAAAAAAGCACAUCCUGACACGUGUACAGAAUACGGUAACGAACGAGAUGUAUACCUUCGCCAGGUGAAGACAAUCUUCAAUACGUCCAUGUCGAGAAGGACAAUGCGGCGGCGGCGGCGGCGGCGGAUGCCGGGCGAAGACGGGGGGAAGGAUCGGACUUCAGGAGGAGCAAGGGCUUCGCGAACAGAGUCAGUGCGAAGAGACAGGAGAAGGAGACUCCGCCGCCGCCGAUGCCGGGUGAAGACGGGGGGAGGAUCGGACAAGGGCUUCGGGAACAGAGGCGCCGAUGCCGGGCGAAGACGGGGAGAGGAUCGGACAAGGGCUUCGGGAACAGAGGCGGUGCGAAGGGACGGGGGAGAAGGAGACUCAGACUUGCUGUGCACGUUUUGAUUUUAGUUUUAGAAAAACUUCAAAUGCCAUCCUUGUGGUUUUAUAUUUUCUGACUUUAAUAUUCUAUAAUUUAAAUUUAAAGUGUAUUAAUUUAGUAUUUUACGAUUUUAUUUUUAUUUUUUUAUUAUAAAUUUUAUUAAUUUUUUUCGUUAAAUCAGUGACAAAGUUAAAACUAAACGGUAUUAAAAUGAAUGUUCGAUAAACCUAGGUGGGGUAUCUAAAAUUUUUUAUAUAUAUUUUAACGAAAUAUUAACGAAAAAGCUAACGAAAAAAUAAAAAUAAAACCGCAGGACACUAACUAGAUACACUUUAAUUAUAGGGUACUAAAAUAAGAAAGUGUGAAACCACAUGAGUGAUUUUUGAAUUUCACCCUUUAGUUUUCAGUUUUUAGUUUUUUUAUUUUAGCAGUGGACGGUGGUGUCGGAUGCUUUCCAUACGUGCGCCACAGGCCGAUACAGACUUGGCAAAAGCCAAAACCACCUGAGGAACAAAUCACAAUCCCAGUGACGCUUCUGCCCUACUUUUGGAACAAAAUGCCAAAAAAACAGCAAAAAACUUUAAACUAAUGUAAAAAGGGUUAAUUACACCGAUGGUCUCAAAUCUUUGCACUAUUUUUCACUUGGGUCCCCAACUUUUUUUUUUGCAAUUGAGUCCCUAAUCUCUUGAUUUUAUUACAAUCACGUCCCGCCGUAAAAAAUACUGUUAAAAUUAAUGGAAUAGAAUAGGCAUCCUUUUGCAUGUUAAUUUUGGUCCAUAAACUUUGCACGUUUUUCACUUUAGUCCCUAAAAAAAAUUUAAAAUUUUAAUUUGAAAUUCAAAAAUAAUAUUAAAAUUAAAAUUUUAAACUAACGAGAAAUUAGAAAUUUGAAUUUGAAUUUAAAGCUAAAUUAAAAUCUUGAAUUGAAAUUUAAAUUUUAAAUUUGAAUUUUAAAUUGAAUCUAAAAUUUGAAUUCAAACUUAAAGUUUUGAUUUUGAUAUUUCAAUUUACAUUUAAAAUGAAAGUUUUGAAAUUGAAAUUUAAAUUUAAAAUCGUAUUCAAAAUUUUGAUUUUAAAUUUAAAUUUGAAUUCAAAAUUUAAAUUUAAAAUUAAGAUUUGAUUUCAAUUCUAAAUUUGAAUUUAAACAUCGAAUUCAAAUUCACAUUUUGAUUUGAAAUUUCAAAUCAAAGUUUGAAAUUAAAUUAGAAUUUAAAAUUCGAAAUGUGAAUUCGAGUUUAAAAUUAAAAUUUUAAAAUUAAAUGUAAAAUCAGAAUUUGAAUUCAAAUUUAAAUUUGAAUCCAAAAUCAAAAUUUAAAUCUUAAAUUAAAAAUCUUGCUUUAAAUUUAUAAAUGUAAUGGGUUAAUUACACCAUUGGUCCUCAACCUUUACACAAUUUUUCAAUUUAGUCCUCAACCUUUUUUUUUUUUUGCAAUCCGCUGACACCCGCCUCUGUGGCGCUGACACGGCGCCUCCGUGGCGCUGACAUGGUGCUGACGUGGUAUUUUCCGUCAAUUUUAAUACCUUUUUGACGGCUGGGACUUAAUUGUAAUGAAAUCAAUAUAUUAGAGACUUGAUUGCAAAAAAAAAAAGAUUGGGGACCAAAUUGAAAAAUAGUGCGAAGGUUUGGGACCAAUGGUGUAAAUAACCCAAUGUAAAAAAGAUUAUAAACUUUAGUUUUCUUUUUUGUUUUUUUUUUUUCUAAUUAGGAUCUUAUUAUUCUAUUUGAAUUUGGAUUCUAAUUCGGUUUCGGAUUUUGAGUUCCGAAAUUUUUUGGAUUCAAAUUCAGAUUUACUAUUUUUUGCCCCAACUCAUAUUCAGAUUCGGAUUCGGAUUCGAAUAUGCAAUUUUAAAAUAUCCCAACAAAACUCUCACAACUUUUUUUUAUUUUAGCUUUAAAUAGAAUUGGAUUCGGAUUCGAAUUCGGAUUCGAAUAUGCAAUUUUGAAAUAUCCCAACAAAACUCUGACAACUUUUUUUAUUUUAGCUUUAAAUAGAAUUAGGCUGGUAUACUAUCGGUAGUACGGAGGCCUCCGUACUACAAAAUUGUUUUCAAUGAUGCGGCUUCCAAAUCGACGAUCGGCUCCGUUAGAUUUCAUAUACGCUAUUGAAAGUAUUUGAAAACUAAAUUUCAUAAUUUUUCGACAUCAUUUGCCUAGUGAUCAAAAGGUAUCAAAAUUGACAAUUUCAUAAUUUUUCGACAUCAUUGGCCCCAAUUUCCCUUUCAAUUGCCAAAAAUCAACAAAGAUUAACACUGUAAGUCAUAAAAUUGUGAGAUUACCUCAAACUUUGCAUUCGGUUCCGAACGCCACUCUAUUAGCGGCAAAGCAUCAAUGGUAAAGCAGCAACCAGGAGAAGAACAAAAAUAUAAAUGACACCUUGAGAUUCUAGAAUUCGCAAACCAUGUACCUUGAAAUUAAACUAAACCAAAAGCAACUCCAUCUACGAGAAAUAAACCUUCACGUACGGAUCGGAAUAGCAAUUCCAACUGUUUGUUUAGCAUGACCAUUUUCUCUAUCGCAAGAAGCAAACAACAGCAUUUGAAACAGGAAAAGCCCUCGGCUCUUUCUAUGGCAGCAAACUGAAAUAAAAUUUCAUUGGCUUGUCUGUCUCCAAAGAACUAAGUAGGAUUUAUUUCUCACAAAUAUAAAGGCCAACAAGCAAACUCAACAUAUUGUUAUAUUUCAACUGCCUUUCGGACAAAUACCAAUCAGAAAUUAGCAGAAGCCAAUACCGCUUAGAAUAUAAGGGCAACAUAUUUGCCUAAGCUAUGUGUUUUACACUGCAAAGUUUUGUAUCUCACACCGAACCCUACAAGUAGAUAAAUUUGACUCUUCACGAGAGCACCGACAAACUCCCAUAUUCAGGAAAAGUAGCAUCUUUUAUUUGUUGAGGCAAAGAUAAGAAGAUAAAAUGACACAAUAUAACUUGUUAAAGCCUCCAAAUUACUAACACUAAUAACUAAGAACUUAAAAUAAAGAAAAACCAGCAAUCGAAAAAAAAAAAAAAUUUACCACCAUUAUUCACGACCAAACAGCACCUGAAUGGGGAAGGCCUGGUGUAGAGCAUGACAUUCCGCCUGCAAAGCAAAUAAGGAAACAUCUAGUUGUGUUAUUGCAAAGAGACAGAAAAUUUAAACAAACAAGUAUUGCUAAUUAUAUUUCAUUGAUUAGCAUAAUCAUAUAAAGAUAACAUGGAGAAUGUUAUCCAACACUUUAUCACGAAUACUAUCAAGAAGCAUCAGAAACUAUUAUGCAACAAUUGAUAUGUAGGAAAUAAUUAGCAUCUCUUCCUGAAUCUUGUGAGAAUCAGUAAAAGAUAUAGUCCUCCUAACAAUUCAAAAGCCUCAUCCAAAUUCCUAAUUUUACAAGUCCAAGAAAUUACCAAUUUGGACAAAUAUAUAGCUAGCUAAUUGUGGUAGCUGAAAUUUUUUUCAUGAAAAAAAAUUAACACAAUGAGGAAAAUAUAGAAACUUAACAUAAAACAAAGUUGAACAUUGAUGUAACUAAGCAUUGGAAGUAGAAAUACAAGACGAACAGAAUAAAUAAUUUUAGCAUAGGAAACCUCAUUCUCCCUUUCCACAACAUAUCGCAUGUCACAUCGUUACAAAUAUCGAAUUAAAUAACAAAUGCUCUGAUUAAUUUAAAUACUAUAUACACAAACUAUAACCUAACUAUACAAACAAAUAAAUAAAAAUGUACCUCUACUAACUCGCAGUGGGCUUGAGUCUACAAAGAGCAACUUUAAUGUUACGUUGCACCCCAUAAAGCACCUUCGCCUGGAAGAUUUUCGGCUCAGCUUCACCGUCAACUGCUUGGAAGGUAACAUAGUACCAAAGUCCUGUUGCGACACUACACGUUGCCUUCUCUAUUUUUACAAACACGUAACUCAUAUCCUACAUUAUAAAAAACAUCAUAAAAUCAAUUUUAUCAAACAAAAAUAAAGACACAAAGAAAAAAACAAUAGGAAAAGACAUACACAAGGGAACAUGAACAUACAUUUUUCUUAUUAAAAUGUUCGAUUGCCAAUUUAGUACAUCUGAUAAGAAUUUCAUCAUCAAAAUCCGUGAUCGCCGUAAGGCCAAACUCACACGUGCCUGGAAAUGGAUCAACAUCGAAUCCCUGUAAAAGACAUGUAUUAACAAUUAGUGAAAAAAAAAAAGGUUGUGAAGCUUUAACUCUCAAAAAGAAGAUAAUAAUUAUUAAACACCUCGCUUUCCUUGAUUUGUUUGUAAUAUCUAGCCCAUUCUUCGUGAGUCCUACUGCGAUUACCAUUCGGCCAAACGUAAACCUUAUCUUCCUCUGAAGUUGCUCAUAAACCCUUUGAUCCUUCUCGUUCCCUUUCUCUUCCUCUAUUUCACUUUGGAUUUCUUCCUCCUUGCCCUCGUCCCUCAUCUCUUCGCUUUCUUCGUGCAGUUUCAACUUCUCCUACAUCGACUCUUCAGGUAUCAGCUUCUUAGCAUUCUGCUAUAUCACAAAAUGAAAUACAUCUAUACAUAAAAAAUUUAAAUAAAUUUCAAUCAAAACUGACGACAAAUUAAAAAAAAAAUUCUUAAAUUGGCUCAAAUAAAAGAAGAAUUUAGCCGAUGCAUACGAAAUAGAGUCCAAACAGGGCAGAAUUCAGGUGAUACAUUCCUAGAUUAGGAUUUUCUAAUUACGAAAUAAUAUAUUAUUAUUUUAAAAUAUUUCAGUUGUUUCCAAUAAAGUGUAAUUAGGGUUAGGUUAUAUAAAUGUGUAUUUUUUAGGAUUUGGAGAAUAAGAAGAAAUUGGCCGUGUUGUUCUAUCUUCCAUCUUGUUCUCUUCCCCCUUAUCUAUCUUUAUCUCUCUAAUAUCUCUCUCUUUAGGAGGUUCGAUUCCCUCGAAGUGAUCAUUUACCCCUAUCGAUACGGUAGAAUCUUGUUCUAUCUCCCCUCCCGUUCUCUUCCCUCUUAUCAAUCUUUAUCUCUCUAAUAUCUUUCUCUAGGAGGUUCGAUUAUCUCAAAGUAAUCGUUUAUCCCUACCGAUACGGUAGAACCGUAUCAUCAGGCCAAAUUUCGUAAACAAUUUUUUUGAAGGAAUAUUUUUAUAGUUAUAAUCUAUUACUCUUUAUGAAUCCCCAAUGUUUUAAGCUGAUGUGUCAUAACCUCCUAAUUUUGAAUUUUUUUUAAUUUAGAAUGAUCAAUUUUAUUCUCUCUCUCAACAUACGUCUCUUCAUCUCCCCCAUUUAAUUUUUAUUUAGAAUGAGUCAUUUUACUCUCUCUCUCAACAUACGUCUCGUCAUCUCCCCUAUUCAAUUUUUAUUUAGAAUUAGCCAUUUUACUCUCUCUCUCUCAACAUUCGUCUCCUCAUCUCCCUCAUUUUAUUCUCUCUUUCUUAACAUACGUCUCUUCAUCUCUUCCAUUUAAUUUUUAUUUAGAAUAAGCUAUUUUACUCUCUCUCUCCAUCGUUGGUAGAUGUACCAAGUGAGAUAUACAAAAAAAUAUUUAAUAUUUUAUUAUUAUUAAUUACUACUAUAGUUUCUAUCCGCUGCAAAGCGCGGGACUCUUCACUAGUAUGAUAUAAGUCUACUAAUAAAAGAAACGUCACAAACAAACGGCAUUCUAAUCAUUUAUUACAAUCCGAACUUAAUUAAUCAGAGAACCAAACACAUAUCAAAUCGCACAUUCAAACAAAAACAAAAAAAAAGAAAGCACAUUCUAACACAUGUGUACGGAAUAUGGUAACGAACGAGAUGUAUACCUUUGCCAGGUGAAGACAAUUGUAAUGUCUUGAAGAAUAAGUAGUUUAAUAGUUAGUAGGGGAAGGAAGUAAAAAUGUCAACUUUACAAUAGUAAGACCAGAAAUAAGGACGGAAGUAGUAGGCGGAUCGGGCGGUCGAAUUACCGGAUCGGGCGUAAAACGCAGACCCAAGCCCCGCCGGGUUGCGGGUGAUGCGGAGAAGGCAGGAACCGACGCCCACUUACCGUUAUGCAUGGGUCAGGCGAACCGGAGCUCGGAUCGAGGCGAAAUGGCAAACCCAAGACCUGCAGGGUUGCGGGUAGUGAGGAGAAGUGCGGACCCGAGUCCGUUUGCCUGACAAUCAGCAGAAGAGAUCGGGAAAGCCCGGGAAAGGGCCCAACUACCAUGAGAUUUCAGCCCAUACGAGUUUUUCCUCAAUUUAUCACUUUUGCUGUUUAGCCCUCAUAGACUAGGUGCGUUUUUAGUUUAGUCCAAAUUACCAAGUACUAUAAAUACCAAAGUAUAAUGUAAACAGGGUAUCAAUAAAAUGAAAUAUUGAAUCUGCUUCUUCCCCAAACUCUCUUCUUCUCUAAACUCUCUUUUCCCAACUCUUAUCUUUUCUCUACCUCUCAUCCACACCAUGUCUAAACUCUAAACACAAUGAAUAAUUCGCCGUGUUUAAAAAAAUACAAUUAUAUGUAUUACGAAAAAAAUAUAAGUAUUAAAAAAAGGGAAUACAAAAAAUAUAAGCACGGAACAUGGUGAAUGGACCAUUCACCGUAAUUGAACACGAUGAAUGAUUUACCGUGUCUAAGAAAAAUAUAUCAUUUACCGUGUUUGAAUGCGGUGAAUGAUUCACGGUGUUCAACUUAUCACCCCUCCAGCUUUUACAAAAAUAAUUUAUAAAAUUUAAAUUUUAUAAAAAUAUAUUUGUUUGUUAUAAUCGGAACGACGAAAAGUAGAUCCAGAAAAUAAUUUAAUGCAGGAAAAGAAAAGAUAAGGAAAGAGUACACCGAUAUUUACGUGGUUCGGCCAACAGCCUACGUCCACGGGCGAAGACGGAGCAAAUACUUUGUUAAUGUCGAAAAGGCGGAAUACAAAGAAGAUUUCUCGAAAAAUAACCAAAGCUUAAUUAGAUCGAAACGCCGCAACAAGCAACUCCAAAAUUGGCUUCUCUCUCACCCGUACGACGUAUGGCUAAAUUAAAGUAGCCGCGGAUUCUUGACCGUACGAAACGUGCAUAGCUUGGCUUAAUUAGAGUGUGGCUUCUAAUCAGCCGCAGCUCCUGACCGUACGGACCGCAAGACCAACAUGGAUUGCUUAAUUAGAGCCCCGGCAGCUCAGAAUAAUUAGCACAUGGCAUCUAAUUUUGGUCGCGGCAUUAUUAACUUAGCCGUAGCGUAUCUAUUACUCUAUGUGAAUUCCCAAUAAUUUUGCCACGUGGCAAGUUUUUCUCCACUCUCACUAAUCUUUUUUUUGAAUUGAUUUUUACUCUUGGCUUUUCCACUCCCAUCUUCUUUAUUCAAUGACAUGUAAUUAAUGUGCUUUUUAAUUUAUACGUUUCCUAUUCAAAAUUACUUUUUUUGAAUUGAUUCUUACUCUUGGCUUUUCUCCUCCCCUCCUCUCUAUUCAAUGACAUAUAAUCAAUGUGCUUUUUAAUUUAUACGUUUUCUCUUCACAAUUAGUCCUUUCUUCUCCCACAAAUAAUUCCUAACAUGCAAAAUUAGAAAAGGAGAAGAUGAAUAGUUACUACUUUCAGAUCUAGAGAUUGGGGAAUAGUAAGGGAGUUUUCCAAGCUCUAAUCCGUGCCAAUCCGACUCGACCCGAACCCCCCCCCUCCGAAUCAAAAGAGUGUUUAUAGGGUUUCUAUUAAUGCCGAUCUCUUCGGAUUUAUGGAAAAAUAAGGUAAUCGAACGGUUUUUCAAUAGAGAAAGCUAAUUGGAGAGCAAUAAUGGACGGUUCGAGGGGUAGGUUUGGAAAACGAAAAUCCUAAACCUAAUUUUUCUUUUCUUUAUUUUAAUCUCGAAUUCUUACUAUGUAUUCAUUUAGAAUUUAAUUUAUUUGCAUUAUUUUUUAUAUGGUGAUUGUAUCAAUUAAGGACUUGAUUUAUAUGCAUUAUUUUGAUUAAUUUAGAGGUUAUUUUUUAUUUCAUAAUUGAUGUGGCAGGUUUGGCCCACAACUUUUGAUCAUUCCAUGCUCAAAAGGGUGCAAAAUUUUGCAAAUUUUUAUCAGAUUUUCAUCGCCAUCGUCGUCAUCAUCGCAACAUUAUUAUCUCCAUCUUCAUACGACCUUUGUAGGUUUUUUUUUUUUGAAUGUUGAUUCUGGGCAGUUAUCAAUUUUCAAUGGCUAUAUUGGUUAGUUCAAUUCAUACGUUUCCCUACCCAAAAAAUAAAACACUCUUAAAUUUUUAUUUUCCAAACUUCUUUCUUCUUACUCUUCAAUAUUUUUUAAUUUUUUUUCUAUUAUUUAUCCGCGGCAUCGCGCGGGUUAGUACACUAGUAUAUAUAUAUAAUACAUGUUUUCUAAUUAAAGUCUAAUUCUAAUUAGAUUAGAAUUACACUCCUAAUUAUAAUCUAUAAAAUAUAUAUGCUAAAUUAAAUCUAAAUUAUAUCCAAUCCCAAAUAAAUUAGGAUUUAACUCUAAUUUAGAUAACUACAAAUCUAAACCAAAUAUAAAAAUAAUUUACUAUAUUUUGGCAACCUGUAUGUAAUUAACCUAAAAAUUUUCGUCUUAUGAGUGGAGGAGGACAUCAGUAAUUAAAGGGCUUUCUUUGCAAAUAGCCCCCUGAAAAAUUUUAUUUGCGCAAAUAGCCCCGUCUAAAAAUUAUUUGCAAAAAUGGCCCUGGCCCUGCCACGCCAGCGCCACGUCAGCGCCACGCGAGCAGGGCCUGGGCCAGGUGGCUAAGUUGAACACGGCAAUUGGUUCACCGUGUUUAGACACGGUGAACCAAUCACCGUGCUCAUUGUAUUACUCCCGCCCACGACGGGGUGUUAGUAUUACAUUAGACACGGUGAUUCGUUCACCGUGUCUAAACACGGUGAACCAUUCACCGCGUCUAAACACGGUGAACUAUUCACCGCGUUUAGACACGGUGAACCAAUCACCGUGUCUAAUGUACUACACACCAUUUCGCGGGUGCCAAAUAAGGCAUAGAACACGGUGAUUGGCUCACCGUUGUAUUAGACACGGUGAACCAAUCACCGUGUCCAAUGUAUCACUCCAGCCCAAGGCGGAGGGUUGGUACCACACUUAAACACGGUCGAUACGUUCACCGGGUCUAAACAUGGUGAACUGUUCACCGCAUUUAGACACGGUAAACGGUUCACCGCGUAUAGGACACGGUGAACGGAUCGCCGUGUCCAAUGCAUGGGCCGGGUGCGGCUGCGAGAAAAUCUAACACGGCCUGGCCCAGUUCGUUAACCAAGCGCCUAUGGCCCAAUAAAGAAAGUCGGGCCAGAUCUAAAAGUGCGGCUGCGAGAAAAUCUAACACGGCCUGGCCCAGGAACCGAAUCAAUGCACGGGCCGGGUGCNCCUGGGCCAGGCCGUGUUAGAUUUUCUCGCAGCCGCACUUUUAGAUCUGGCCCGACUUUCUUUAUUGGGCCAUAGGCGCUUGGUUAACGAACUGGGCCAGGCCGUGUUAGAUUUUCUCGCAGCCGCACCCGGCCCAUGCAUUGGACACGGCGAUCCAUUCACCGUGUCCUAUACAACCCUAUACCCCGAAAAUGGCUAAGUCUGGUAAACCCUAAACCUUCGAAAAUGGUUAAGUCUGGUAAACCCUAAACCUUGAACUAACUGAAUUGGACACGGUGAACCAUUCACCGUGUCCAAUACAACUAGCCACACCUAAGCCGUAUUUGGCCAAAUAUGGAAGUAAAGGACACGGUGAUUAGUUCACCGCGGUGAAUAGUUCACCGUGUUUAGACACGGUGAAUGAAUCACCGUGUUUAGACACGGUGAACGAAUCACCGUGUCUAAUGUAAUACUAACACCCCGUCGUGGGCGGGAGUAAUACAAUGAGCACGGUGAUUGGUUCACCGUGUCUAAACACGGUGAACCAAUUGCCGUGUUCAACUUAGCCACCUGGCCCAGGCCCUGCUCGCGUGGUGCUGAUUUGGCGCUGGCGUGGCAGGGCCAGGACUAUUUUUGCAAAUAAUUUUUAGAUAGGGCUAUUUGCGCAAAUAAAAUUUUUCGGGUGGCUAUUUAAUUGAAAUUUUCGUCUAAUAAGUGAGGGAGGAGGCCAUCAGUAAUUGGUGUAUUCUAGACUCUUUCGUGUCUUCGGGAGGUACAAGGCGUGCUCCUUUUCUUGCUAUGACGAACUCCCACAUCACCAAAGAGAGGGGAAAAAAAAAAAAAAAAGGAGGGAGAAAACACAUUUCUCUCUCCUUUGAUCCUUUCCCGGAAACCAAACAUCGCAUUACAGAAUCUGGCAAUGGCGGGGCAGCGCGCUGGAUGNGGCCAUCAUUUAUAAUGAUGAUGAUUAUCAUCAUAAUCUUUAAAGGCGCUUCGACUUCAUGUGAGGAUGCCUCCGUUGUCGACGGCAUUGGAUCAGCAUCUUCUUGCUCCCUUUCAUAUUUUUUGAUCCUGGCUGAAGUAACUAUCAUCAUUUUUUCUUUUUCUUUUUAUUCUACUUCUCCAUUUCUCUUCUUGAUGCCUCCUCUUCCUCCUCCUUGUUGUUGUUACUGUUACUGUGUUCGUGUUGGUGUUGGUGUUGGUGGUGGUGGUGGUGGGGGUGGGUGGAGCCUACCGUCUCCCCGCCCUAUCCUGAAAGGUUUCAGGAAAACCCACAAAACUUCGCCUUUCGGGGUAAAGAUGUAUAAAACUUUCCGCAACUAUCAUCCUUUUCGAUCUGACUACCUAACAGUUAAAAGUUUGGAUUUUACUACCCGUUCUUUCAAUUUAUUUGAUUUAAGCCGAUUAGUAAGCAACUAUGAAUUCAUUAAAGUAAGCAAUUAGUUUAAAUUUUGAAGUCCGAUUAUCGUUGACCGACUCAAAUCGAACAAAUUGGAAAGUUCGGUGGUAAAAUCAAAAUUCUGGGAGGUCGGGUGGUCGACUCAAAAUGAGGCAUUUAGGUUCUCGCAGUUGGUGCUUGGCAUGGUCAUGGUAAUCUUGGAAGGCUCUGCUCUUCUACAGGCAACCACUUUUCCAUGCGAUGUCUUGUGGUGUACUGCAGUACUGUGUUUCGUACCAAUUUUUCCGUGCAGGUGUUUUGGAGCGGAAAUUGGAAUCAUGGUAGAUCCGACUGGAACCGUUGGGUUUGCUUAGACUUGCUGAAAUCACUUCAAACCGGUGGAAAUCAAUUCAAACCACACCUGCUAAUGUUUCCAAGGAUUUACAUGUUCUUGGUUGCAAUUUCAUCCAAAUCAGUGAUUUGGAGGAUCCGAAACUGGGUGCAAAGGAGGCUGUGAUGGUUGCCAACCUGGGUGCUAAUGCUUUGUCCAAGCCAUUUCUUCUUUACCCAGUGUAUACAGCGAAAACAGCUCUUUUAAUAUCAUUUCUUCUUCGGCAAAUUGGAUGGUCUGCUAAUUUAGCAGGCAACCUUAUGCUAGCAUCCAUUGUUAUGGUGCAUGGAUUUUAUGAUGCUUUCUGAGUAAGGCCGGGGAAAUGGUUGUGAACAAACAAAUUGAGGCUUUCGGUGGGUCUCUUGCUGUGUCAUCAACCAUAAUAUUGAUUAGCGACAUAUUGCCGUUCACUCAACUUAAUUGGCUUGUGAGACUUGAUAGCAACAAUCAAGAAAGUUCGAGUCGAAAUUGCAACAAUUAUAUUUUGAGGACUAAAGUGUUACCUGCCUCAUUGUUUGAGGACCAAAAGUGUAAUUUAGCCUUAUUUUAUCUAACAAACCACUGAGCAGGUAAGAAUUUUCUUGCUAAAUUGCAUGUUUGGUCCUCAAACAAUGUGUAACACUUUGGUUCUCAAACUUUAAUCUGUUACAAUCUAGCCUGAACUUUUUGAAUUGUCGCAAUCAAGUCCUGCAAUCCAAUUUAGAUGACUAAAUAUUGAUGCAUCAUUGAUGUAAUAGUGAUGUGACAUUUUAUUUUUUGUCUCAUCAUCAAUUACCAUAUUGCUACCGUCACUUUCACAUUACCGACAUAUCAAUAUUUAGUCAACUAAAUUAGAUUGUAGGACUUGAUUGCAACAAUUUGAAUCAGAAAUUACAAUAAAUUAAUGUUUGGUCCUUGUCAUGUGUCUCAAAGUUUGAGGACAAAAUGUGCAAUUUACCCUAAUUUUCCUCAUCUCAGUGGCAGCUCUCAAUUGGAAGGUCUGCUGUUUUGCAGGCAACCUUGUUCUGUCAUUUGUCUUCAAGGUGCAUAAGACUCUCAUGAUGCCUCUUGAUAUGAUCAAAUGGCAUGUUGAACCCUCUCUUUCCUUCUACUUGAAACAUUCGUUCUACUUUCUUUUCAGCUUUUAAUAUUUCUCAUGUCGACCGUCCGUGUGUCCUCAUGUUGACUGUAUGCUUCAAUCAGACAGGCACUUAAUGUUUUAUCCCAUGUUAAGUAUUUUUUUCCCUUCAUUUUACUUGUCAAAGGAGGCUGUGAUGAUUGUCGGUUGGGAAUGCACCUCAGCUUAUUUUAUCCCGGCUUUUGCUUCUCGGCGGAGUACAGAAGCUGAUAAGGAUACUGGAUAUAAGAGGCAAUAUAGUCAACUCAAACCUAAGAUUUUGGUUGGGUUUUGACAAGUCGGGUGGGAUUUGAAUCUGGUUUGUUAGUUUGCUUUGUCCUUUUACAACCCUUGGGAGCCUUUCACUUUGUUCAUUUGUGGGAUAGACAACAUCUCAGUGGGUGGUUUUUGGCUGACAUGAUGCACCAGGUGCAGGCAAUAAUUUUUCCUUUCUGGGCAGCUCGUGAGGCCAACAUUAAGUACCCGUAGCAGUAUUUAAUUGGAAGGCCUUGCAGGCAAGCCUAUGCUGUCACGUCUUUAAGGUGCAUGAGAUUACAAGAUCCCUCAUGUGGUGAUUAAGCGGCAUGUCUGAGUCUCCAUUUUAUUUUCCUACUUCCUUUUUAGCUAUUGAGAUUUGGUUGUUCACGUUUGUUUUCCCCCUCGCUUUCUUACUGCAUAUAGAAGCUAGGAUGGGUUGUUUUAAAUAUUCCUUAUCAAACCGUUGAAACAUGACUUCAUGCUGGUUGAUGGUAAAUUUUCUAUCCUAUAUGUAUUCAGAUCAGAGGGAAUUUGUUAAUCUUUCGGAUUUUGAUAAGAACUAAAUAUAAGAAAGAUUUGGAUGCUAGGUAUAUAAAUAUUUGGGUUAAUUUCUUCAAUCCCUUCCUUAAAGAUUGUAAUUUCAUAAAGACUCCUUCAAAUUGUAAAGGGUUUAGGGUUGCAUGCAUACAUCUCUCUCUUUUGCAUCUGAUCGACAUCAAGUUUCUAUAUUUAUAUUGGGUUUCUUUGCAUUUUAAAGUUAUACAAAAUUGUUGCAGGGCAUGCAAUCAAAACGGUUGCUCAAUCAAUAGCUUCACUUGAGCCCUAUUAUGUUAUUUGAUAAAGUUUUGGGAUUUAUUUGUUAAAAAGUAGAAGUUUUAGCACCUGUUUGCAAAAGUGUUAGAGUUUAGGGAGGCUUUGUACAUUGUUUCAAUUAUUAAUGUUUACUAAAAAAUGUAUGUUGGGCGCAAACAUUGCAUCCUUUUGGGCUAUUUAGAGAGGCAAAAUACUGUGAGCCCUCAAUUACGGAUGUAUGGGUAUGCCUUCGAGGCGAUACGAGCUAGAGAGCCUAUGUUGGGGGAAAAACAAAGUACUGGGCGUGCUCCCUUCUUGCUGCAAGCUCCUCUGUCUCUUCACUCCCACACUGAGAAACCAAACACCCCCUUAGAGAAUCUGGUAUUGGCGGGGCAGCAUUGGAUGGUUUGCUGUUUGUAGGCUACUGAGCUGCAGCCAUUAUUCCAGAAUUGGUGCGGCAACGGCAGCGGUGGCGAUCAUUUUGUGGCCAUCAUUUAUAAUGAUGAUGAUUAUCAUCAUAAUCUUUAAAGGCGCUUCGACUUCAUGUGAGGAUGCCUCCGUUGUCGACGGCAUUGGAUCAUCAUCUUUUUGACACCUCUCAUAUAUUUUGAUCCUGGCUGAAGUAACUAUCAUCAUUUUUCUUGUACUUAGCCAUUCUUUGCUUGAUGCCAUUUUGUUGUUAUUGUUAUUAUUAUUAUUAUUGUUAUUGUUAUUGUCGUAGUGGUGGUGGUCGUGCAGGUGGGUGGAGUCUGCUCUCUCUCUGCCCCCUGUGAAAAGGGAAACCCACAGAACUUCGUUCUGUGGGGUUGACCAAGCCUUCUCUCUCUCUCUCUCUCUCUCUCUCUCUCUCUCUCUCUCUCUAUAUAUAUAUAUAUAUAUAUAUAUAUAUAUAUAUAUAUUGAGUUCGGCUAUGGUGCUUUUAAAAGCACCAAGCACUUGGUCCUUGUAAGUUUUUGUAAGUUUCCCAUUGUUAGAUUUAUCUCUUUGACCAAUUCCACCCCUAAGAUUAUACUAUUCGACCAACUACCCGCUCAAAUCUUGGGGACAACUAUUAUCCUAACCCUACAAAUCUUCAUCCUAGGCCGAAAACCUACAAGCACCAAUGACUUGGCACUUUUAAAAGCAUAGGAGCUCAAUUCUAUCUAUCUAUCUAUCUAUCUAUCUAUCUAUCUAUAGACAUAUAUGUAUAUAUAUACAGUUUGUGUGUGGGGAAUAUAAGGGGAAAAAAAACAACAAUCAUGCCACAUGAGGCAUUAAGUUUUCAGCGGUUGGUGCAUGGCAUGGUAAUAUUGGAAGGCUUUGCUUCUCUGCAGGCAACUAUUUUUUCAUGUGAUGUCUUGCUUAGACUUGCUGAAAUUAUUGAGAACAAGCUUAUUAAAGCUUUCGAUGAGUCUCUUUCCACGUCAACAACCACAACACUGUCACAUUACUGUUGCAUUAGUGGGACAUUACCGAAAGUAAGUUGGCCUAUGAAACUUGAUUGCAACAAUCAAAAAAGUUUGAGCUAGAAAUUGCAGCUAUUAUGGUUUGAGGACCAAAAGUGUAAUUUAGCCUUAUUUUAUAUAACAAACGACUGGGCAAGCAAUAAUUUUCCAAUCUCGGCACCUAUAACUGCACUCAAUUGGAAGGCCUGCUAUUUUGCAGGCAACCUUGUUAUGUCGGUUGUCUUCAAGGUGCAUAAGACUAUAUGAUGCCUCUUGAUAUGAUCGAAUGGCCAGUCGGAGCCUCUCUAUCCUUCUACUUCCUUUUCAUCUAGUAAUAUUUCUCAUGCUGACUGUCGAUGUUCUCAUGCUGACUGUAUGCUUCAAUUAGACAGGCCCUUAAUGCUUCAUGCAAAUGUUAAGGAAGCGUCUCUCCUUUAUGUUACGUUUCGAAGGAUGUUGUGAUGAUUGGCGGUUGCGAAGGCACCUCAACUUGUUUUUUUCUUGGCUUUUGAUUCUUAGAGCGUGUUUGGUUCACUUCUUUUUCACUCUGGAAUCGAAAUCGGAAUGGGUGAAUCUGUUUGUGGGUGUUUGGUAUGCGGGAGUUCCAUUCCCAUUCCUAUUCCCGAGUGGGAUGGGAAUCCCCUAAUCAUCUCUUUUUCCAAUCCGGUCUAGUAGGCCGGAUUGACAGUUGAAUCCAGACGGAAUGGAUAUUUAUUCGGAUUAAAUUAAUUUUUUCAACUUUUUUAAAUUAAAAUAUGAGUUUAAAUUUAGAAAUUAAAUUUAUAAUUUUAAAUUUUAAUUUGAAUUUGAAUUAAAAAUUAAAAUUUAAUCAAUUAUUUUGAAUCUAACUUAUAAAUUUGAAUUUAAAUUAAAUUUUAAUUUAUAUAAAGUUUUAUUCAAAUUUUAUUUAAAACUUAAAUUAAAUUUAUGGAUUCAAAUUAAAAUUAAAAUUGUAAUUUUAAGUUUGAAUUUGAAUAAAUCGAAAUUUAGUUUUAUAUUUUGAAUUAUCCACUCAACUUCAAAGUUUAAUUUUUUAAAAAAAAAUAGAUUUAAAAUUUUGACAUUAUUUCAAAAUUUUGAUGUAAAUUUUUAAUAUUUAAUUUUCAGUUUGAAUUUAAAUUAAUAUAUUAUAAAGAUAAAGUUAGUAUAUUAAUUUGAUUACGUUUUUUAUAUCUAUCUGAACAAAACACCGACAAUGGGAAUGAUUUAUUCCGAUUCCGAUUCAGGUAAUGAAUCAAACAGAAUUAGGUAAUGAGUCAUUCCAAUUCUGAUUUCAGCUUAUUUCGAUUCCGAUUCUGAUUCCGAUUCCAACUUCGAACCAAACGCGCCCUUAAUGGAGUGCAGAAGCUGAUCGAAAUACUGGAUAUAAGAGGUAGUAUGGUCAACCCUAAAAACUGCACUUUUGCAUUAAAAAAAAUCCCUUUCAUGAAUAACUGUAGAAACGGAUGGUCUGCACUUUUGCAGGCAACCUAGCAGUUACAUGCUGUUUUUUGUGGUUUGUACUUUUAAGCUGUUUCUUUGCGACAUCAUUUGCCUAGUGAUCAAGCAAUGCCAAAUACAUCGUAUAUUAGACAUUAAAAUUGUUGAUUUCUGGACAACUUGACUACUUAGCAAAUGAUAUCAAAGAAUGAUGAAGUUUGAAACCUAGAAAGUUGAAAUAUCCUAGAUCAUGUUUGACGGUGCUGAUGGUCUAUCCAGAUGCCCCAUUAUCGGAAAUGACACGGAAGUGAGCUGUACUUGUAGAAGUAUUCUAGCCUCUCCUUUUCUCUCUCUCUCGAUCUCGAUUUUCUAGGUUGAAAUAUAGAGCAAAAAGUUGGUGGUGGCACUAUUAUGGAUCAAUAAGGUCUAAGGUUCACUUCUUGAAGAUCCCCCUGCUCCCCCCCCCCCCCUUCAAAAAUAAACAAAAAAAAAACACACACACACACACACACACACACACACACACACAAAAAGGAAAAAAAAAAAACUCAAAAUGCAGUUCCUCGUGGAAACUGGCUCCUGCUCGGCAUGCUAUCUUGAACGGCUAGCUCCGAUGCAGACAACCAAUAUUUGCAUCUAUACAGGGGAUUUUAAUCCUCAGUUUGCUAUUUUGAAGCAACAAGUGUCGGAUUGUACGUUAUCUGAAUGUACAUGUUCUUUGAGGAAUGGCUAUGAUGACUGCCUGGAUGCACCAGAACUGAAGCAUUUGACUGAAACGUAGCUUGGCAAUCUUUGGAAGGCUUGCAAUUCUGUGAGCAACCAUUAUGCAGCUGUUUGUGUAGUUCUGUGAAGAUUCUGAUGAAAAGGCCAGAUCUGAGCCACCUCCCUUCUCAGCAUCAUCUUCGUUAAAUUAUGAAAAGCUUUCUUGUACUUUAUCCUCUGUCACAAUUAUCUAACUGCUCGAGAAAGAUGGACUGUAGACAACCGUCCGCUUGUAGACAUCUUUGACUCUAUGGUAAACAGUUGCGACAUGUUUGUUGGGUAAAUGAAAGAAAUAUGUUGAACAAGAUGGUUGUGUGUCGAAAGAAAUGAUCUGUGCUGCUGUUUAAAGCUGCAUUCUUAUGUCUUUCCAUGUGGCAGCUGUGAUGAUUGCCAAGUAUGGAAGCAUCAAAACCCUUGAACAUUAGACUACACUUUGAUCUGCACAGCGUGGCAACUUUUGGACGGCUUGUUUAGCAAGCAUCCAUUUUGCGUUUGUAUGUGUAGUUCGCAAAUGCUCAUAAAAAUGGGGUGAAAAUGUGCAGAACUUAUCUGAACUAUGGACCAUUUCGAGAAAGGCAGAUUGUAGACAACCGUCCGCAUGUUUGUUGUGUAGACAUCUUAGACUCUAUGGUUAACAAUUGCGGCAUAUUUGUUGGGUAAAUAAAAGAAAUAUGUUGAUGGUCAUGUGUCAAUAGAGGCUCUAAAUUUGCACUUUUGUUCUGCGCCACAAAUGAGCUGUGCUGCUGUUGAAAGAUGCAUUGUUACCUCUUUCUAUGUGGUGGCUGUGAUGAUUGCCAUGUAUGGAUGCACCAAAUCCCUACAACAUUUGACUAAACUUUGAUCCGCACAGCUCGGCAACCUUAGGAAGGCUUAUUUUGCAAGCAUCCAUUUUGCUUUGUAUGUGUAGGUUUGCGAAUGCACACAAAAAUGGCAGAUCUGAGCCACAGCGUCUAAAUAUCUCCUUUUCCUUGUUUAGAACUAACAAUUUUUUACCCCUUGCUUGCUCUUGUUUAAAGAACUUCUGUUUGCUAAAUCGCCUCUUGCAACAAGGUGGUUAGUUGAUAAGAGGAAAAAUGUUCCUUUAUGACAAUAUAUGUUUUUGAAGUUUAGUGGUGAUAAUUACACCGCAGUUGGAGGGGGUUUGGCAUAUUUUUGUCUUUAAAUAUGGCCCGCAGGUAGUGUAGUUUUAACAGAGCAUUAGACCUGCCUGGCAGGAACAUUGGAUGGCCUGCUUAUAUGCUGGCAACCAAUUUUUGAUGCUGUAAGCUGGAGUUUGUACCGAGGUUCGUAUUAUUAGCGUUGAGCAUCGCGAUGUAACUUUUUGUAGUUGUACAGAGCCGAAGAAUUGCUCUUUUGCAUCCUUCUUCCUUAGUGGGUAAUCAAAAUUUCCACAAAAUUGGAACUUCAAAUCUCACUUCUUUCAAGUUUAUCCCCAAACCGGUUUUCUAUAAAAAUAAACUGAACAUGCGACUUCGGCAAUGCUGAGGACUCAUAGGGGUGACACGGUCGAAUACGGUCGGAUUUUUGAUGAAACCAUAUCCGUAUCCAUUUCGUAGGCUAAUUCGGGUAUGAUGAUGUUGGAUUCGAUCGGAUUUUAUCCUAACCAUUUUCACCCCUACUUGUGGUACAUUUAUUCAGAGGAAAAAUACUCUUGAGCCCUCCAAUGAGGGAUGGACGGAUGGAUGGACGGACGGGUACAUCGCUAAGGCGAUACGAAAGAGAGAACCCUGCGUUGGGGACAAGCAGAAAUGCAGGGAUGCUCCCUUCUUCCUGUAAGUCCCUCUGUCUCCUACUCUCUUCCACCCCAAAAAAAGGAAAAAAAAAAAAGAAAGAAAGAAGAAAGUCAUUUGUCUCGUUUCCCAUCUCUUCCUUUCCUCAAGUGUUUUUAGGUUAGACAGGGAAUGUGGUAAUGGCGGGGCAGUUCUGGACGGUCUGCUCUUCUGCAGGCUACUGAGCUGCAGCCAUUACUCCGGAAAUACAUUGGCGGGAGUGACGGUGGUCAUUCAUAAUGAUGAUGAUGAUGAUGAUGAUGAUGAUGAUGAUGAGGAUUAUAACCUUUGAAGGUGCUUCAGCUUUGUCUGAGGAUGCUUCCGGUGUCAAUGGCACUGGAUCAUGUUCCUCUUGAUACCUCACCUAUCUUCUUGAUACCUCACCUUUUUCUUGAUCCUCAUUAAAGCAGCUAUCAUUUCCUCCUACUUCCUUUCUUGAUGCCCUAUUGUUGUUGUUGUUGUUGUUGUUGUUGUUGUUGUUGUUAUCAUUAUUAUUAUUAUUAUUAUUAUUGUGGUGGUGGUGGUGGUGGGGGUGGAUGGAGUCUACCAUCUCCCUGCCCCUUCGUAAAAAGGGAAGCUUUCGUUUCUCGGGGUUGACCGAGCCCACACAUAUAUAUGUGUGUGUGCGCGCGUGCGCUUUUAGAAGCAUAUACUUUGAACUUUUGGACCCUUGGAUCCCUAUGGUUUACUAGCUAGUGAUGGUUAAAGUACGGAUCCAAGGGCUCAAAAGUUUAAGUUGUAACUUCUCAAAGCAGCAUAAGCUCUAUUCUAUAUAUAUACACACACACACACUGUUGGUGUUUGAGGGUUGGAAAAAAAAAAAACAACAGGAACAAUUCUAGAUGAGGGCUAAAGUUUCAGCAGAAGGUGGAUAGCAUGGUUAUCUUGGAAGGCUCUGCUGUUCUGCAGGCAAGCAUUAUUCUAUGUGAUGUCUUGCGAUGUACGAGAAGAGAUAUCUAUUCCUUUUUCUCAUGCAAUACUCUGUUUGGUGCCAAAUCAUUAUAGAAUUGAAUAUAUUUGCAAUUCCAUGAGGGCAUUUGUAUUGCAGAAAAUGCAAACUAUGGCAAAUCUGACCACAAACCAGUGGAUUUGCUUUAUCGGAAAUAAAUUUAAAGUACACCUGCUAAUGUCUACAAGGAUGAACCAGUUCUUCUUGGCAAUUUCAUCCAAAUCAGUGAUUUGGAGGAUUCCAAACAGGGAAUGAACAAGGCUUCGAUGAUUGCCAAUCUGGUUGCCCACAGUUUGCCCUUGCCGUUUCUUCUUUACCAUUGUACAGUGUAAACAUCUCUUAUAAUAUCAGUUGUUCCGUAAAUUGGAUGGUCUGCUAAUUUAGCAGGCAACCUUUGAAGCUUUUGAUGAGUCUCUUGCCAUGUUAUCAAUCACAGUACUUCUACAUCACUCCCUUAUCAGUGAUACAUCAUUUAUUCUACUAAAUUGGACUAUGGAACAUGUUGCAACAAUCAAGAAAUGUUGAUUCAGAAGUUGCAACAAAUUAAAGUUUAAGGACUAAAGUGUCAUCCGCCUUAUUGUUUGAGGACCAAACGUGUAAUUUAGCCUUAUAUUAACUUACAAAGCACCCAGGAUAAAAAGAAAGUACUGGAUUUUUUUUUUCCCCCUAGAGAAGCUUUCAAUGGCUUGCGAUGCAUCUGCUGUAUGCAAUAAUUUUCCUAUCUCAGCUGCUCACUAGGGCAGCCUUGCGGGGUAGCUGUAGCAGCACUCAAUUGGAGGGUCUGCUGUUUUGCAGGAAACCUUGUUCUAUCAUAUGUCUUUAAGGUACACAAGGUUACAUAAUGCCUGAUCGAAUGGCAAGUCGGAGCCUCUCUUUCCUUCUACUAUCUUUUCAACUAUCAAUAUUCUCAUGCUGACUGUAUGAAUGUCCUCAUGUUGACUGUAUGUUUCAAUCAGACAGGCCCUUAAUGUUUCAUGCUAUGCUAAAGAAGUGUUUCUCCUUCAUUUUAGUUGUCAAUGGAGGCUGUGAUGAUUGCCGGCUGGGGAUGCACCUCAGCUUCUUUUAUCCUUGCUUUUGACUCUUGGCGGAGUAAAGAAGCUGAUCGAAAUACUGGAUAUGAGAGGCAAUAUAGUCAGCUCAAACCAAACAUGUUUGUUGGAUUUUGACAAUUCUGGUGGGAUUUGAGUCUGGUUUGUUGGUUUUCUUGGUCCUUUUACGCUCCUUGACAGCCCUUUGCUUCGUUCCUUUGGGUGGUCUUGGGUGACAUGAUUCACCGGGUGCAGACAAUAAUUUUUCCUUUCUAAGCAGCUAUAAGGCCAACAUCAGCUACCUGUAGCAGUACUUAAAUUGGAAGGUCUGCGGUCUUGUAGGUAACAUUAUGCUGUUACGUCUUCAAGGUGCAUAAGAUUGCAGGACCCCUCAUAAGAUAUGAUUAAAUGGCAUAUCUGAGCCUCCAUUUUCUUCUCCUAAUUCAUUUUUUGCUAUUCAGUGGUACACUCUUCCCUCACCACCCCCCCCCCCCCCCCCNNNNNNNNNNNNNNNNNNNNCCCCCCCCCCCCCCCCCCCCCCCCCCCCCCCCCCCCCCCCCCCCCCCCCCCCCCCCCCCCCCCCCCCCCCCCCCCCCCCCCCCCCCCCCCCCCCCCCCCGCUCCUCUGGCUUUCUUGCUGCAUGUAGAAUCUAGGAUGGGUUGUUUCAUAUUUUCCUUAUCAACUUCCUGGAACCCUGCGUAAUGCUGGUUGAUGACAACUGGAUAGUUGUUCGGGGGUCUAUUUCAAAAUGGCCUAUAGUUGUGGGGAUCAUCAUACUAUUUAUCCUUCUCAAUAUAUUUGAGGGUUAUCCCAAUAUUGUGACUUAGUCCUCGAACCUAUUCCGUAAACACUUGUCCCUUAUCUUUCACAUAUUCUUGCAGUUCAUCCCUGGCCAUCACUUUGGUCCAUAUGUUCCAGGCAAGAUCUCUCAUUAGCACGCUUCAGUGUAAUUUAAUCACUAGAGGAUUGGCGCGUGAGUCGUAAUUGGGGGCAAGAAGAAGUACAGGGCAUGCUCCCUCCUUUGUAUAAGCCCCGCUGUCUACUUUCUCUUGCACCACAAAAAGCAGAAGAAAAAAAGAAAACAUUUUAAUGUUGAUAUGGGAUGGUGAUAAUAGUUUAAGAAGCUUCGGCUUCAUUUGAGGAUGCCUCCUAUGUUGAUGGCGUCAGAUUGCCAUCUUCUUGAUUCCUCUCAUAUUUCUAGAUUCUAGCUAAAGCAACUAUUAUCUUUUUUUUUAAUUACAUCUCCAUUUCUCUUCUUGAUGUCUUAUUUUUUUCUUCUUCUUCUUCUUGUUAAUUGCUGCUGUUAUUGUUAAUUUUACUAUAGUGGUGGUGGUGGUGGGUGGAGUCUAUCGUCUCCCCAUCCCCUCCCGAAAGGGAAAACCCAAAAAACUUCGCUUUUCGGUUUUGACCAAGCCUUCAUUCUUGGUUUUGGCUGUAUAUAUAUAGAGAGAGAGAGAGUUUGCGAUUAACUAUUUAACCCUUGGAUUUCAGCAGUAGGUGCAUGGCAUGGAAAUCUUGGAAGGCACUACUCUUCUACAGGCAACCAUUUUUCCAUGUGAGGCCUUGAAUGUACCAGAAGAUAUAUCUACUCCUUUUCUAAUGUAAUACUCUGUUUGGCACCAAAUCGUUGUAGAAGUGAGUAUAUUUGCAAUCCUGUGAGGGCAUUUUUGGAGCAAAAAUGCAAAUUAUGGUAGAUCCGACCACAAACCAGUGGAUCUGCCUAGAAUUGCUGAAAUCAUUUGAAACCAUUGAAAAUCAAUUCAAUCCACACCUGCUAAUGUUUCCAAGGAUUAACGAGUUCUUGUUUGCAAUUUCGUUCAAAUCAGUGAUUCAAAGGAUUCUAAACAGGGUGCAAAGGAGGCUGUGAUGGUUGCCAACCUGGGUGCCAACGGUUUGUCCAAGCCAUUUCUUCUUUGCUGAGUGUACAAAAUAAACAGCUCUUUUAGUAUCAGUUCUCCUUUGGUAAAUUGGAAGGUCUGCUAAUUUAGCAGGCAACCUUUACCACCAUAUAUUAUAAUGGUGCAAGAAUUAUAUGAUGCCUUUUGAAUAAAGUGGGGGAAAUGGUUGAGAACAGACUAAUUGAAGCUUUAGGUGGGUCUCUUGUGAUGUCAUCGACAACAAUACUGCCACAUUACUGCUACAUAUGUGAGACAUCACCAUCCACUCAACUAAAUUGGCUUGUGAGAUUUGAUUGCAACAGUCAAGGAAGUUCGAGACAGAAAAUUGUAGCAAUUAUAGUUUGAGGGCCAAAGUGUCACCCGCCUCAUAGUUUGAGAACCAAAAGUGUAAUUUAGCCUUUAUUUUAGCUAACAAACCACUGAGGGUGAAAAGACAGCGUUUUCUAGGAACUGGCUCCUGUGAUGCACCAGGUGCAGGCAAUAAUUUUCCUCUCUAUGCUAUGUGUGGCAGCACUCAAUUGGAAGGUCUGCUGUUUUGCAGGCAACCUUGUUCUGUCCUUUGUCUUUAAGGUGCAUAAGACUACAUGAUGCCUCUUGAAAUGUUCGAAUAGCAGGUCAGAGCCUCCCUUUCUUGCUUUCUUUUCAGCUAAAAUGUAUAUCGUGCUGACCGUCCAUAUGUCCUCGUGCUGGCUGAAUGCUUCAAUUGGACAGACCCUUAAUGUCUUGUGCAAUGGUAAGGAAAUAUUUCUCCUUCAUUUUACUUGCCAAAGAAUGCUGUGAUGAUUGCCAAUUGGGAAGGCACGUCAACUUAUUUUAUCAUGCCUUUUGACUCUCGGCAGAGCACAAAAGCUGAUUGAAAUACUAGAUUUAAGAGGCAAUAUAGUCAGGUCAAACCAAAGAUCUUGAUUGGGUUUUGAUAAUUCGAGUGGCAUCUGAAUCUUGUUUGUUGGUUAGCUUGGUGCUUCUACACCCCUUGAGUGCCCGUCACACACUUGUAUGCUGAUUCAGAUGUGGAUAUCCAAGCAUACAUCUCUCUUUCUCUCUCUCUCUUUGUCACGCCCCAGUUUCUUGGAGCGCCACCCAUUCUAGAACUACUCUAGCCGUAGGUUUGCUCAACCCUCUUAACCUUUUGGGCUUAGCCGCUGCUCAAAAUGGUAUUGCUAGGUUAAGAGGUUUAUCUCUAUAAUACCUUAUAUAUAGGACUUCCAAAUCCUAGGGGUGUCACAUUCUCCUCUCGGUUACCUGCUUCCCUCUUUUAGGCUCUGACGUCCUCUCAGGUUCAAACACACUCACAAGCACCGCCGAUGUGAGACUCGUCUUCCUAGCCUUAGAUAACCUUGUGGGGAGCCGCGCUCCACCCACAAUGGCCGUCAGUCGGAGAGCCGUGCUUUUGCCCGUUUUAUGACCCUGGCUCAGCCAAGGAUCAUCUCACACUUAUGGUUGGUGAUUGGCUUUGAUACCAACUGACGCCUCGCUUCCCAGAGGGGUCAUCCAUCCAAGAACUACUCUAGCCUUAGGCUUGCUCAAUCCUCUUAAUCUCUUAGGCCUAGUCACUGCUCAAAAUGCUAUAGCCGGGUUAAGAGGUUUAGCCCUACUAUAUCUUAUAUAUAAAACUAUUCCAAAUCCCGGGAGUCUCCCUCCCCCUCUCCCCCUCCCACCCCCCCCUCCUGAUUGUCUCAUGCCCUAAUGACCAUUUAUAGUCAUAAUCUAUUUCAAGUAAUUUUGGAUUCGAUCAAAUAUCAUAUUUCUAUUUGUUAUAUAAAAUUAUGUGCAAGGCAUGUGAUCAAAACAGUAGCUCAAUUAGUAACUUCACCUGAACAGAGGGGUUCACUAAACUAUUUGAUAAAGUUUUUGCGGUUUUGUUGCCAAAAAGUAAAAGUUUAGGCUCCUGUUUGCAAAAGUGUUAAAGUGCAGAGUACUAAUUUUUGAUGUUUAUAUAUCUAAAAUCAUUUUCUUAAAAUGUAACUGGAAAUUGCCAAGCAGCUCUGGACUGUCUGCUCUUCUGCAGGCUACAGAGCUGCAGCCAUUAUUCCAGAAAUGUUGUGGCGGCGGCGGCUGCAGCUGCAGUUGGUGAUCAUUCAUAAUGAAGAUGAGGAUGAUGAUUAUAACCUUUAAAGAGGCUUCUACCGCAUCUAAAGAGGCCUCCUAUGUCGAUGGCAUCUGAUUGUCAUAUUCUGAUACGGUGAUACCUCUCGUAUUUCUCAAUCCUCGCUUAACUAUCAUCAAUUUUUUUUUCUACUUCUCCAUUUCUCUUCAUGAUGACUUGUUGUUGUUGCUGCAGCUGAUGGUGUUCUUGUUAUUGUUGCUGUUGUUAUUAUUAUUGUUAUUGAGGUCGUGGGGUUGGAGGUGGGUGGAGUCUGAAUGUCUCCCCGCCCCUUCCUGAAAGCCGAAACUUAGAAAACUUCGCUUUGCUGGGUUGACUAAGCCUUCAUUCUUGGUUCUGGUUAUAUAUAUCUAUAUAUAUAUAGAUAUAGAUAUAGAUAUAUAGAAACAGCUUGUAUUUGGGGGACAAAAAGGACAAAACAAACAGCAAUGAAACCAAAUGAGGCGUUAAGUUUACAGUAGUAGUUGCAUGGCAUGGUAAUUUGGAAGGCUCUGCUUUUCCGCAAGCAAUCAUUUUUCCAUGUCUUUUCUUUUUUAUACUUGGUGAAAUGGUUGAGAACAAACUGAUUGAAGCUUUUGGUUGUCUCUUGCGAUGUCAUCAACCACAAUGCUGCCACAUUACUGCUAUAUUAAUGAGACAUCACCAUUCACUUAACCAAAUUGGCCUGUGAGACUUGAUCGCAACAAUCAAGAAAGUACGAGCUACAAAUUGCGGCUAUUAUUGUUUGGGGACCAAAGUGUCACCUGCCUCAUAGUUUGAGGACCAAAAGUGUAAUUUAGCUUUAUUUUAUCUAUCAACCCUUGGAACAGGCAUUAAUUUUCCUAUCUCAGCACUCUGUUGGAAGGUCUGCUGUUUUGCAGGCAACCUUGUUCUGUCAUUUGUGAUGCCUCUUGAUGUGAACGAAUGGCAGGUCGGAGCCUCUCUGUCCUUCUACUUUCUUUUCACUGUUGAUAUUUCUCAUGCUGACCGUCCAUAUGUCCUCAAUCCUCUUGCUGACUGUAUGCUUCAACCGGAAGGCCCUUACUGUUUCAUGCAAUAUUAAGGAAGUGUUUUUCCUUCGUUGUACUUGUCAAAGGAGGCUGUGAUGAUUGCCACUUGGGAAUGCACCUCAACUUCUUUAAUCCUUGCUUUGGAUUCUCGGCGUAGUGUAGAAGCUGACCAAAAUACUGGGUAUAAGAGGCAAUAUAGUCAACUCAAACCUGAGACCUUGGUUGGGUUUUGACAGUUCGGGUGGGAUUUGAAUCUUUUUUUCUUUUUUUUUUUAAUUUUAUAUUUUAGUCCUUUUACACCCCUUGAGAGGCCUUUACGUGGUUCAUUUGUGGGAUAGACAGCAUCUCAGUGGAUGGCUUUUGGCUGACAUGAUCACCUGGUGUAGGCUAUAAUUUUUCCUUUCUCAGCAGCUCAUAUAACCAACAUUAAGUACCUGUAGCAGGACUUAAAUUGGAAGGUCUACUGUCUUGGAUGCAACAUUUUGCUGUCGUGUCUUUAAGGUGCAGAAGAUUGCAAGAUCCCUUGCGAGAUGAUUAAGUGGCAAAUCUGAGCCUCCA
rnacentral:lncRNA from 1 species